rnacentral:lncRNA from 1 species
GACUGCAAUCAAUUCUGCGCCGAUAUAACUGCAAAGCAUCAGCAGUGUUUGACAUACACACUUCAAACUGAGUGAGAAAAGAAGAUCAGAAGAUGAGGAUAUCAUCAAUGGUGGCACUAUCAAUAAUGGCCUUAACUUUGGUUGCAGUGCUUCAUGGUUGCAUGGCGCAGCUGCCGUCGAUAUGCAACGUGUUAGUUGGAGAUUUGUUGCCGUGCAAGCCGGCCGUGACACUGCCAAAUCCUCUGCCGCCUUCGGAAGUGUGCUGCUCGGUGCUGUCAAAGGCGGGCUUGUUGAAAUGCCUUUGCUCAUUCAAGAAUUCUCCAUUGUUGCCAUCGUUGGGGAUUGAUCCAGAUCUCGCCAUGCAGCUCCCUGCAAAGUGUCACCUUCCUCACCCUUUUGAAUGUUUAUUGUAGUAAUCCUAUCAAAUCAUUAUUACUACCAAAUCUGCUCUCUAUCUGUAAAUUUAACUAUGCAAUAAUACAGUAAUAACAAUGGAUUAUUGCUUUCAUUAAUUUCCUAUUUCAGUUUUAGUUAGAUUUUAAGAUAGUAUUAUUUAGUGUGUACAUUUACUAAAGACGCACACAAUAGUAUUGUGUCACCAAAGAUACAACACGGUAGCACAUAUUCAUUGUUUGUUUGAUAAGAAAUAAAAGAAAUGCUGUAACAUAUAUAAUUUUUAUUUAUUUUUUAAAAACGUCUAGAUGAAUGUUAUUGUAAGCGAAUUCUAUAAUGAAUAAUCAAAAUUUCAAUAUUUUUUAUGGAGAUAUUUUAAAACUAAUUACAAAUAAGAAAUAACUAAAUCAAAUUUUAGAUUAUGAAAUUAGUAUAUAUCUCAAUAAAUAUAUUUAUAUAACAAGACUUGUACAUUAUUUAAGAAAACGUAAGUAUAGGGACACUUUCAAAAGACUUGCCUUUUUCUUUCUAAAAAAUAAAUAACCAACACAAUUUUUUUUUUCCAAAGAAAAUGAAAACAACAAUGCUAGGCAGCAAAAAGAGCAUUUAUUAAUUUCUUAUUAAUCAAAGAAUACAAAAAACAACAAAAAAUGGUUAUGGAAACCCAAAAAAGUGUCGGCUGUACACUUUCCAAACCAUGGUACAUAUAAUGCAUUCAUCCCAAUCUAAUCCCACUGAGUUCAGUGUCAUUCGCAUGCAAUGAUCUGUAAAGAAAUCAAUACUCUCAAUUAAAAAAGUUUUGUCAAAUAUAAUAAAUUUUAAUAUAUAUCCCACAAAAAUUCUACAGUNNNNNNNNNNNNNNNNNNNNNNNNNNNNNNNNNNNNNNNNNNNNNNNNNNNNNNNNNNNNNNNNNNAAAAAAAAAAAAAAAAAAGAAUUAAGUAAUAAGAGCAUUUACCCUAUUAGACAGGGAAUGAUUUAUUGUUGUCAUUUACACUUCUUGAGGUACUUUAGAGGGAGGGAAGUUUGGUUUGUAAUCCUAAAGGCGGAUCUAUCUCACCUCUUAUACAUCCUAAUUCAUUUAUUUAUUUAUUUAUUUGAUAUUGAAUUAAAUUGAAUCUGACAACAGCUUUUAUGGAAAUGGAUCUUUUUCAUUUUUUUUAACAUUUGAGAGAAUAAAAUGUGAUCUCUCAUCUUUAAUUCUAUAAGUAAGACAAAAAAUAAAUAGAAAAAAGAGAACAAUAAAGGAUGACAUUAAAUAUUGGAUACCAUCCAAUUUUUUUUUCCAUUGGAGAGGAUCCAUUCCUCAGCUUUCAUAGAUAAAAUGCAAGACUUCAAUCUUGCAAACAACACAAUACUCUCUUACGUCUUUUUUUUUUUUUGGAUUAGGAAAAUGUGGUGACACAGGAACUGAAAUUUUUAGAGAUGAAUACUAGAAUUUUAAUAAUAUAUCCUUUUAGCAAAAACACUAGUUAAAACUAAAAUUUUAGUCUUGGGAUACAAAAAUUUCAGUCCCAUUAUUAGCACCUCAAGAAUGUGGUGACACAGGAACUGAAAUUUUUAGAGAUGGAUACUAGAAUUUUAAUAAUAUAUCCUUUUAAAAAUCAUCUAAUUUAACUUUUUAAAUUUUAAAUUUACUUCUCAAUCUCUAUUUAUCUUAAACCAAAUACGAUACUACAAUAUAAUUCAGUCUAGUAUAUUAUAUACUAAACACAAAUAAAAUCUUAAUUCGGUCUCUCUUUACAACAUGAUCUUAAAAAAACAACCUCUAAAUCUCUCUAUACACAAAAAGAGCUACAAAACUCAUCUUCUACAAUAUGUAAUAGUGAAUUUUAAAAAUAAUGAAUUCUCUCAAAAGAGUAUAUAGUCACAAAUAAAGUACUAUAAAUAAUCCCAAACUAUCAAUCAAAUAUUUAUCAAAAAUAUUUUGACACUUAUAAAAUUUGAUUACAAUGAAAGUUUAUAGCAUAAAAAAAAGUUGUGUACUGAACAAAAAUCAAGACAUUUAUUUAUAGAUCUCCAUGCACUCAUGAACAUUAAGAGUGAGUAGAAAGAGUAAAAGAUUCAAAAACAUACGUUUUUUGUAGGAUCUUGUGUCUACAAGGAUGUAUAAGAUUGAUUCUCAAAACUAGAGAUCAAUCCUCUAUUCCUCUAGUUUGAAUUUGUGAAAAAUAUAGCACUACAUAUAGCACAUGAGAAUCGAUCCUCCAUUUUAACAUAGUAAUCGAUUCUCUUUAGGUUUAGAUUUAAACAAAUUUAAAUUUCGAGUUAUGGCGUCUUGUGCAUGAUUGGAUUAGGUCUUACUCCCAUCAUCUAUUAUAAAUAGUUUAAGAUUUUCAUAAUACGACUUAUACUCAUUCUCAAUCAUGUAUUUUCGAAAUCAUUGAAUAAAAAUUAUUUUACUUUAAUUAAGAUUGAUUUUAACUUAAGAGAUAAAUUUAAUUUAUUUUUAACAAGUAAAAACUAAAUUCCUAUACCUAAAUGUUGUUUGUUGGACUUCUCCUUAUCAUAUAAUAUUUGUUGUAUAUUUAUUUGUUGCAUAUUUUUUGCAUGCAUGAUUGAUUUUUUGAUGGGCUUGUGUUUGUAAAAAUUUAUUAUANNNNNNNNNNNNNNNNNNNNNNNNNNNNNNNNNNNNNNNNNNNNNNNNNNNNNNNNNNNNNNNNNNNNNNNNNNNNNNNNNNNNNNNNNNNNNNNNNNNNNNNNNNNNNNNNNNNNNNNNNNNNNNNNNNNNNNNNNNNNNNNNNNNNNNNNNNNNNNNNNNNNNNNNNNNNNNNNNNNNNNNNNNNNNNNNNNNNNNNNNNNNNNNNNNNNNNNNNNNNNNNNNNNNNNNNNNNNNNNNNNNNNNNNNNNNNNNNNNNNNNNNNNNNNNNNNNNNNNNNNNNNNNNNNNNNNNNNNNNNNNNNNNNNNNNNNNNNNNNNNNNNNNNNNNNNNNNNNNNNNNNNNNNNNNNNNNNNNNNNNNNNNNNNNNNNNNNNNNNNNNNNNNNNNNNNNNNNNNNNNNNNNNNNNNNNNNNNNNNNNNNNNNNNNNNNNNNNNNNNNNNNNNNNNNNNNNNNNNNNNNNNNNNNNNNNNNNNNNNNNNNNNNNNNNNNNNNNNNNNNNNNNNNNNNNNNNNNNNNNNNNNNNNNNNNNNNNNNNNNNNNNNNNACAAUAAUUAAAUAUUAUAUUUAAAAUUUUAUUUUAUAUUAUAAGAAUCUUACACAAAAAUGCAUUUUCAUUUAUUGUUAGUGCUCUCUUUGAUGCUGGCAAUAAUAAAAUUAUGGUUAAAAAAUAAUAAAAUAUCAAUGCAUUUUUUACGCAUUAAACAUAGCCCUCUAAAUAGAUUCUAAGAUUUUACAUAAAAUAAGUUAUCAAACUGCCAUUUUUCUUUUUACAAAUCUUUUAAGGUUUUUCUCCUUAGCUCUAGUUUUCAUUAAAUAUAUAAUAAACGAUUUGUAUUGUUUGUACCAUUCUUUUAUUUCAGAAUCUGUCGUGGCAGUUAUUACUCUAUGAUAGUUUCAUCUUUAAGAUUUUUAUGGUUGUGGUGGGGCGGGUAUAAAUAGACCUGCCGUGUACCUCAUCAGUCAUGUUGAUGUCUUUUAAAAAACAAUGACUCAAACAUUAACAUCACAAUAAAAUAGCAUAUAUUUGAAUUAAUUAAAUUAAAUAAUUCAUAUAAUAAACAAAUUAUAAAUGAAUUAAAUAAAAUAAAUAAAAGAUACCUUCCAUAAGAGAUAUUCACCAAGUUUAGAGAUACACAAUAAUGAAAUAUGUGAAAAGCAAUCUAAAAAACAAGGGUGAUUUUAGGUGAUGCAUUGAAUUAUGCGGCUAUAUAAGUGCAAAUCAGGAAGUAGUGUUUGACAUACAGACUUAAAAGUGAGAGAAGAAGAAGAACUGAAAAAGAUGGGUUCAAAAUCAUCAUGGUCAAUGGUGGCACUAGCAAUAAUGGCAUUAAGUGUGGUUGCAAUGCUUGAUGGUUGCAUGGCGCAAUCGUUCUGCAACACGUCACUUGCAGAGUUGUUCAAGUGCAAGCCGGCCGUGACGCCGCCAAAUCCUUCGCCGCCGACUCCAGAGUGCUGCGCGGUGGUGGCAAAGGCGGACUUGAAAUGCCUUUGCGGAUUAAAGAAUAGCCCCUUGGUGCCAACUCUGGGGAUCGAUCUAAAUCUCGCCUUUCAGCUCCCUGCAAAAUGUAACCUGUCUCUCCCUCCUCAAUGUUAAUGCUAUCUGUAAACACAAACUACUCAAUAAUCAAUAAUAUAGUAAUAACAAUCGAUUAUUACUUUUGUUAACUCCCCUUCUCACCCUCAACUCCCCUUCUCUUUUUUUUUUCUCCAUUUUCUUUUAUCCUAUUGUCAAAAUUCCAAUUUCUUUAGGCUUUAACAAGAGUAUUUACCGGUCGGGUUGAUUAUAUUAUUAGUGUUUUGAGAAAAAAAAAAAGACCGUCAAACCCAUUAAAUGUUAAUCGAUUUUGAUUGGUUGGAAUUUAAGAUUUUUUGAGUAGAUCAGAACUAAUCUUAAUAAAUUAAAUUUAGGAGAACACUUUAAUAAAGACACUAAAAAUAUCUUUUUUUUUAAAGAUAUUUAUAUGUAUCAUAUUAUUAUUGGCUAUGAUGCAUGGACACUGACACAGACACGGGACACGACAUGACAUGGGACACGCCGACACGCGAAUUUUAAAAUCUUACAUGACACGGGGACACGCAUAUAUAUCACCUGGACACGUGAUGGUAUUUAGGUGUGUCUAGGCGUGUCCGAAGAAGAAUUUUUUAUUUUUUAUUAAGAUACGGUUGGACACAGCAGACACGCGUGUCGGACGAGUGUCAGUGAGUAUCGUGUCCGAAAUGUGUUCGACACGCGGACACAAUAACUCAGAAAAGUGUCCGUGCUUCAUAGAUUAUUGGACAUCUUUAUUAAACCGAUUAAUAAUUUAUUUUUUAAUAAAUCAGAACAAAAUCAGUUUAUUAUAGCAACAAUAAUAAACCCAAUUGUCUGCAUUAUAAUUAUUAGAUCCGGUUUGAUCCGAUUGAAUUACACAAUCUAAAUCGAAUAUUUUUAAAUUUUUUGAUAAAAAGACAAAUAUAUCUUUGACUUUUUGUUUUGCAGACAUUUAUAUUCCUAAAAAUUUAAAAAUACAAUUAGAUGCCUAAAAAAAAUUUGGGUUUAUUGUUAUUAUUAUAAAAAAAAAUCGAUUUUAUUCUAAUUUGUUAAGAAAUUCAAAAAUAACCGGUUCAAUAAUACGUCCAAUAAUAAUGCGGCACGUAAACGUCUUUACAAAAAGAUGUUUUACGCGUCUUUAUGGAAGCAUCCCCUUAAAUUUAAGUUGGAACGAUUUAAAUACUUAAAUAUUCAAUUAAAAAUAAAAUUUAAAAAAUUCAGAAAAAAAUAAAAAAUUCUCUAAAUUUUAUAACUAUAUAAAGAAAACACAAAUAGAGGUAUGUAUAUAUAUAUAUUAUAAUUUGCAUACAUAUUAAUAAAAGUUAUCACAGCUUGGUGGGUGUGAAUAGCUCUACUUAUCUAAAGAGGAGGGAUUUGAAUCCAAUCUUUAACAUUUUGGUAAAAUUUAAAUACUAAUCAGACCAGUUUUUAUCGGUUUACAUCGGUUUUUCACCUUAUGUGGUCCAAAUAUCGGACUGGAUUGGUAGAGGGUCUGAUUCACCAGUUUUUCAGUUGAAUUGGCUGUUCUGGUCCGGUUUUAAUAAUACUGAUUUGUAAUUAUCAAUUAAUCAUUAUUAAUAUUUUUAAUGGUAUGAGAUUAUAUCUAAUGAUAUAAGAUUACAUACUCUUUUGUUAAUGAUUAAAUAUUGGCUAGAAUUUAAAUACUAAUCGGUUUGGUCGGACCGAUCUUUAUCGAGUUUGACCGGUUUUUCAUCAGGUCACUCCGAAUUUGACCGGUUCGCACCAAUUUUUCACCUCAUGCGGUCUAAAUAUUGGACCGGAUCCAUAAAGAAUCCAGUUUACCGAUUUUUUGGUUGAAUUGACCAGUCCGGUCUAAUUUUAAUAACACUGAUUUGUAAUCAUCAAUUAAUCAUCAUUAAUAUUUUUAAUGGUAUAAAAUUACAUCUAAUGAUGUAAGAUUACACGCUUUUUUGUUAAUAAUUAAAUAUUAACUAGAUUUUAAUAAAAAUGCUGGCGUUGAGACUUUCUCAUAUAUUAUUAGAUUUUAUUUAUUAUUUUUAAUUAAUAUUAGACUAAUCAAAUUAUUUUAAAUUAUGUGAUCCGAAUAAAUUGAAGUCGAGUUUAAUUGAAUCAAACUAAAUUGUAUUCGUUUACCCAUCAAAUCUAAAAUUAAUAUAAUCGAUCUAUAUCGAUUUUAGUUAGAAAAUUGAAUUAUCUGUACUUGUAAACAUCACUAAACUUUAAAAUAAUGUUUAUUUAGCAUUCAUAUGCACUAAAAAUAUGAAGACGGUAACAAAGUGUUACCUUUCUCUCCCUACUCAAUAUUAAUGCUAAUAAUGCUAUCAAAUAAUUUCUACUACCAAAUCUAUCCCCUAUCUGUAAAGUCAAUUGAUUCGGACAAUCAAGUAAAUAAAAAGUUGAUGAUUACAAAAAUAAAUAUGUACUUUUUAAUUUGGCAUUCAGCACCUAAAGCAAUUAGACAUUUAAUCAAAAGAGACUGUAAUUACAAGUGACACUGCUAAAAAUUAAGUCUUUCAUGUAUGAAUAAUUAACAGUUUGGAUCAUAUUCUUGAAAUCGGCUCUUGAUAUCUUUUACGAUUUUUAUUUCUUUCUCUUUGUUAUGUUUGCGAUUCCUCCAGUCUGCAUUGUCUGUCAUAUUGAGCAAUCCUGCCAGGACCUGAGUCAAAUUUAUAAGUUCCAAUCUUAAACUAAUGAGUACAAGAGUAAUUUUCCUUAUAAGUAAAAGAAUGGUAAUCGUUGAUGUCCUCUUAGAAUAAAAAAAAAUUGAUUAAGAAGUAUGUGAUUCAUUCUUAUAUUAGCAUAGUAUUCCAUCAGUUAAGUGCCUACCUCACGUCCAAAUUGGACAGAGAAUCUCACUUUCUCCUCAACACGGUGCAGCAGAAUUGUGCCUCCUGAAAUUUUGAUAUAGAACAAAACUUGACUCCCCAUCAGCUUGUGUCUUCAGAAAUUUUCUUUCAUCAGAAACGCUAUCAACUUUGUCUCAAUAAAGAACAUAAAAACGAAUAUAAACUCUAAAACGAGUCAAAGUGUAGAUCAUCUUUUAGAAUAAACAAAUUGGAAUUGAUUUCUCAAGUCAUGUCAUUAGUAAGUUAGGACUAAUACCAAGAAAUUACAAAGAGGGGGAAGAAAGGUUAGUCAGAAGCAAACAGAACAAAAAUGAAACAGAAAGCAUGACCAGAAGAUUAAUACUUACAAUUCUUAGAAACAAAUUUAAAUUCCAUCUUUUGUGCAGCUAAAUUGAAUGACUUUUCAACCAUAACUGCUUUGGAAGAUGGAAUAGGAAUGGCCGACAUGUAAAAGCAGAAAUCACAUAAUAAGAAUGAAAUUCAAACAUAUUUGACAAAAUACUAAAGUUAUUAAGCAGAAUCCCUCAACCUCCUCCGGCUUCUCAAUCUCCUCCUCCACCUCAACCUGCUGCGAUGCCAAAUUCCUACUCAGAAUUGAAACGACGUGGAGGAACUGAGUUCUUCUUCUUCUUUGUCCAGACGGAGAAUGACAAGGCGACUGCUGGUGCGUGCUGCUACUGCGUAAAAAGAUCGACAGAGAAAGAGCACGGUUACAAGGAAGGGAGAGGGUGAGGAUAGACUGCUGCUGUCCGGAUAGGGGAUUAGAGCUGAUGUUGUUCUUUAUUGGCAGAUUGGUAUACAAGGAUGAAGAACAAUUUUUCAGAGUUCUUCUUUGUAUGAAAAGGUAGAAGAAAUUAUAUUAGGAUUCAUUAGAAUUGAAGCAAUCUGUUAGUGUACAUGAAUAAUGAAUAAUGAAAUAUAUUUUGAUUUUGAUUUUAAAUUAAUUUAAAUUUAAAAUUAUAAAACUAAAGUUAUUAAUUGAAUUUUGAUUAAAUUAAAAAAAUUAGAGUAAUUUUUGUCCAAUAUAAAAAAAAGAAUAUUUAAGUUUUUUUCAUAAAAUUGAAUAUUUUUUUUUAUUUUUAUUAAAAUAUAAGGGUGAUUUAGUAAAACUAUUGAUAUGAUAUAUAUUUAAAACAAAAAAAAUUAAUUAUUGACGUGGAAAAUAUAAUCCACUUGUAAUGUUUUAAUUUAUCUACAAUUUUAUUAUACCGGUACGUAUAAAUUUAUUAUCGUACCGAAGCCAUCACCUAUUAUUUAGUACUGUCUAUAUCUACUAAAUACGGACACAGUAGCACUCGUCACAAAAAAUAUACAAACACGGUAACACGUAUUCAUUGUUUGUUUGAUGAAAAAUAGAAGAAAUUUUGUAACAUAUAUAAUUUUUAUUUAUUUUUUAAAAACUUUACGUCUAGAUGAAUGUUAUUGUAAGCGAAUUCUAUAGUGAAUAAUCAAAAUUUCAAUAAUUUUAUGGAGAUAUUUUAAAACUAAUUACAAGUAAGAAAUAACGUAACUAAAUCAAAUUUUAGAUUAUGAAAUUAGUGCAUAUCUCAAUAAAUAUAUUUAUAUAACAAGACUUGUACAUUAAUUAAGAAAAAGUAAUUAUAUGGACACUUUCAAAAGACUUGCCUUUUUCUUUUUAAAAAAUAAAUAACAAACAGAAAAUUUUUUUUCGAAGAAAAUGAAAACAACAAUGCUAGGCAGCAAAAAGAGCAUUCAUUAAUUUCUUAUUAAUCAAAGAAUACAAAAAACAACAAAAAAUGGUUAUGGAAACCCAAAAAAGUGUUGGCUCUUGGCUGUACACUUUCCAAACCAUGGUACAUAUAAUGCAUUCAUCCCAAUCUAAUCCCACUGAGUUCAGUGUCAUUGGCAUGCAAUGAUCUGUAAAGAAAUCAAUACUCUCAAUUUAAAAAAUUUUGUCAAAUAUAAUAAAUUUCAAUAUAUAUCCCAUAAAAAUACUACNNNNNNNNNNNNNNNNNNNNNNNNNNNNNNNNNNNNNNNNNNNNNNNNNNNNNNNNNAAAAAAAAAAAAAAAAAAAAAGAAUUAAGUAAUAAGAGCAUUUACCCUAUUAGACAGUGAUUGAUUUAUUGUUGUCAUUUACACUUCUUGAGGUACUUUGGAGGGAGGGAAGUUUGGUUUGUAAUCCUAAAGGCGGAUCUAUCUCACCUCUUAUAAUAUACAUCCUAAUAUGAUCUAUAGUGGUACCUGUUCCAUUUAUUUAUUUAAUAUUGAAUUAAAUUGAAUCUGACAACAUCUUUCAUAGAUAAAACGCAGCAGUUCAAUCUUGCAUACACCGCAAUACUAUGUUUUUUCGGGAAUUGUAGAACUGAAAUUGAAUAAUGUGUUUAGUAUUUAGAUACUAAAACAAAAAUUUUAGUUUUAAAAUAUAAAAUUUCAAUCUUUUAGUAUUUUUAAAAAGUAAGAACACAUAGAACUNNNNNNNNNNNNNNNNNNNNNNNNNNNNNNNNNNNNNNNNNNNNNNNNNNNNNNNNNNNNNNNNNNNNNNNNNNNNNNNNNNNNNNNNNNNNNNNNNNNNNNNNNNNNNNNNNNNNNNNNNNNNNNNNNNNNNNNNNNNNNNNNNNNNNNNNNNNNNNNNNNNNNNNNNNNNNNNNNNNNNNNNNNNAUAGAACUAAAAUUUUAGAAAUAAAAAUUAAAAUUUUAAUAAUAUAUAUUUUUAAAAAUAUUUUAAUUUAAUUUUUUAAAUUUAUUUUUUAAUUUUUAUUUAUUUUAAAUCAAAUAUAAUACUAAGACAUAAUUUAGUCUAAUAUAUUAUACACUAAAUACAAUAUAAAAAUUUAAUUCGAUUUCUCUUUACAACAUGAUCUUAAAGAAAACAACCUCUAAAUCUCUUUAUACACAAAAAAAACUACAAAAAUCAUAUUCAACAAUAUGUAAUAGUAAACUUCAGAAAUAAUAAAUUCUCUCAAAAGAAUAUAUAGUCACAAAUAAAGUACUAUAAAUAAUCCCAAACUAUCAAUCAAAUAUUUAUCAAAAAUAUUUUGACACUUAUAAAAUUUGAUUACAAUGAAAGCUUAUAGCAUAAAAAAAGUUGUGUACUGAACAAGGAUCAAGACAUUUAUUUAUAGAUCUCUAUGCACUCAUGAACAUUAGGAGUGAGUAGAAAGAGUAAAUGAAUAAAAAAUAUUCAUUUUUUUGUAAAAUUUUGUGUCUAUAAGGACAUAUAAGAUUGAUCCUCAAAGUUAGAGAUCAAUCUUCUAGUUUAAAUUUGCUUAAAAUAUAGCACUACAACACAUAAGGAUUGAUCCUCCAUUUUAACAUAGUGAUCGAUCCUCUCUAAAUUUAGAUUUAAGCAAAUUUAAAUUUCGAGUUAUGGCGUCUUGUGCAUAAUUAUAGUAGGUCUUAUUCUUAUCAUCUAUUAUAAACAGUUUAAGAUUAUCAUAACACGACUUAUACUAAUUUUCAAUCAUGUAUUUUUGAAAUUACUGAGUAAAAAUUAUUUUACUUUAAUUAAAAUUGAUUUUAAUUUAAGAGAUAAAUAACUUAAUUUACUUUUAACAAGUAAAAACUAAAGUCCUAUACCUAAAUAUUGUUUGUUGGACUUCUCCUUAUCAUAUAAUCUUCGUUGCAUGCAUGAUUGAUUUUUUGAUGGGCUUGUGUUUGAGUUUAAUGCAAAAAUCUUCUUGUAAAAANNNNNNNNNNNNNNNNNNNNNNNNNNNNNNNNNNNNNNNNNNNNNNNNNNNNNNNNNNNNNNNNNNNNNNNNNNNNNNNNNNNNNNNNNNNNNNNNNNNNNNNNNNNNNNNNNNNNNNNNNNNNNNNNNNNNNNNNNNNNNNNNNNNNNNNNNNNNNNNNNNNNNNNNNNNNNNNNNNNNNNNNNNNNNNNNNNNNNNNNNNNNNNNNNNNNNNNNNNNNNNNNNNNNNNNNNNNNNNNNNNNNNNNNNNNNNNNNNNNNNNNNNNNNNNNNNNNNNNNNNNNNNNNNNNNNNNNNNNNNNNNNNNNNNNNNNNNNNNNNNNNNNNNNNNNNNNNNNNNNNNNNNNNNNNNNNNNNNNNNNNNNNNNNNNNNNNNNNNNNNNNNNNNNNNNNNNNNNNNNNNNNNNAUAUUAUAUUUAAAAUUUUAUUUUAUAUUAUAAGAAUCUUACACAAAAAUGCAUUUUCAUUUAUUGUUAGUGCUCUCUUUGAUGCUGGCAAUAAUAAAAUUAUGGUUAAAAAUUAAUAAAAUAUCAAUGAAUUCUUUACGCAUUAAAGAAGUUAUCAAAUUGCUAUUUUUCUUUUUGCAAAUCUUCUAAUGUUUUCCUUCUUAGUGAAAGAGCCUAGCAGCGGAAACGACACAAAUGUCCAACACAAAAACAAUAUGGAAGCACUCACAACAUAAUAUGGCAGCAACUAUAACAAGCAAAUAUAGCAAGUAAAGCAAUAAUAAGAACACACCGAGAUUUUAACGUGGAAAACCCCCUCAAGGUGAGAGGUAAAAACCACGAGUCGUCCAGACCAAUGAAAUAGCUCCACUAUAAUCAAAUGAGGUACAAGAGAGUCUCAAACAAAGCACAAAAAUGUGCAUAUAACCAGCCAAAACAUCAAAGCACCAAAGCUCACAAAUGAAAAGCAAGAAGAUGAAAUAUACCCAAAAAACAGAGCUGCUGUCGAAGCCAAUUUCUCCCUCUGUAGACCUCCAAUUAAAAUCUUCACCGUCCAGAAUGAAGAACAAAAUGUGAAGAAUCUACAGUUCAAAUUUCACAUCGAUCCAACGGUGAAAGAAUGAGAAACUGCCGUUCCAAAAUUGCUGCUCUGUGUAAAACGGGAAACCUAAUUUCUCUCUUGCGAAGCCAAUUUCUCUCACUGAAAAUCUCCAAUCAACAUCUUCACCGACCAGAAUGAAGAACAAGAUGAUAAGAACAUGCAGUUUAAAUUUCAAGCCGAUCCAACGGUGAACAACUGAGAAACUGAUAUUUGAAAUUUACUGCUUUGGGCAAAAACGGAAAUUUUGUUUUUCCCCUUCUCUCUCACUUGGUGGCUACUCUCACUCACUCUCAAUGACCCCAAAAAUCUGAACUAGGGUUGUGGCACAAUGGGUGCAAGAGACACCCUCAAAAUGUUGGGCUUGGGCCUCACAAAGGAGAGAAAAACCCAACAAAUCUCCCCCUUCUCGACUGGGUGGAGGCUCUCGCCAUUCCGGCGAUCAAACAACAUGUUUCAAACUUUUCUCUUGACAAUGCUUUUGUCAUCAUAUCAGCACCAUUGUCAUCAGUGUGAACUUUCUCAAGUUCCAACAACUUUGAAUCUAACACAUCCCGUAUCCAGUGAUACCUAACAUCAAUGUGUUUAGAUCUUGGAUGAAAAGUAGAAUUCUUGGCAAGAUGAAUAGCACUUUGGCUAUCACACAACAACACAUAACGGUCUUGCUUGAAACUACCGUCCAGAAUGAAGAACAAAAUGUGAAGAAUCUACAGUUCAAAUUUCACAUCGAUCCAACGGUGAAAGAAUGAGAAACUGCCGUUCCAAAAUUGCUGCUCUGUGUAAAACGUACUCCUUAAAACCAGACCGAUUAAACCAUCGGCUCUAGUUUUCAUUAAAUAUAUAAUAAACGCUUUGUAUUGUUUGCAAAGUUCUUUUAUUUCAGAAUCUAUUACGGUAGCUAUUACUCUGUGACAGUUUCAUCUUAAAAUUUUUAUGGUUGUGGUGGAGGCAGGUAUGAAUAGAUCCGUCGCGCACCUCAUCAGUCAUGUUGAUGUCUUUUGAUAAACAAUGACUACUCAAACAUUAACAUGACAAUAAAUUGAAUCAAAUAGCAUAUAUUUAAAUAAAUUAAAUUAAAUAAUUCAUAUAAUAAACAAAUUAUAAUUUUUUGGCUCAAUANNNNNNNNNNNNNNNNNNNNNNNNNNNNNNNNNNNNNNNNNNNNNNNNNNNNNNNNNNNNNNNNNNNNNNNNNNNNNNNNNNNNNNNNNNNNNNNNNNNNNNNNNNNNNNNNNNNNNNNNNNNNNNNNNNNNNNNNNNNNNNNNNNNNNNNNNNNNNNNNNNNNNNNNNNNNNNNNNNNNNNNNNNNNNNNNNNNNNNNNNNNNNNNNNNNNNNNNNNNNNNNNNNNNNNNNNNNNNNNNNNNNNNNNNNNNNNNNNNNNNNNNNNNNNNNNNNNNNNNNNNNNNNNNNNNNNNNNNNNNNNNNNNNNNNNNNNNNNNNNNNNNNNNNNNNNNNNNNNNNNNNNNNNNNNNNNNNAAAAAUAUAAAUCAAAAUAUAAGAUGAAAAAGUUAAUGCAAAUUAAGACAAAAUCAAUUCAUUUAUUUUAGUCGAAUCAAAUAAUUAAUAUAAUUGAUUAGUUAUAGUUAAUAUGAUCAAACAAAAUAUUGAUAAAUUGAUAUUUAUCUCAAUUAAAUAAAUAAAUAAUUAAUUAUAUAACAUCUUUAAAAUUAUUAGUCAAAAUACGUAAGAUGAAAAAUUAAAACAAAUUAAAACAAAAUCAAUUUAUUUAUUUCAAUCGAAUAAGAUAAUUAAUGUAAUUAAUUAAUUAUAAUUGAUAUAGUAAAAUAAAUAUUGAAUAAUUUAAUAUUUAUCUCAGUUGAAUUAAAUAAUUAAUUAAUACAUUUAAAUGAAUGAAAUAAAAUAAAUAAAAAAUACCUUCCAUAAGAGAUAUUCACCAAGUUUAGAGAUACACAAUAAUGAAAUGUGUGGAAAGCAAUCUAAAAAACAAGGGUGGUUUUAGGUGAUGCAUUGAAUUAUGCGGCUAUAUAAGUGCAAAGCAGGAAGCAGUGUUUGACAUACAGACUUGAAAGUUCAAAGUGAAAGAAGAAGAAGAAUUGAAAAGGAUGGGUUCAAAAUCAUCAUGGUCAAUGGUGGCACUAGCAAUAAUGGCAUUAAGUGUGGUUGCAAUGCUUGAUGGUUGCAUGGCGCAAUCGUUCUGCAACACGUCACUUCCAGAGUUGUUCAAGUGCAAGCCGGCCGUGACGCCGCCAAAUCCUCAGCCGCCGACGCAAGAGUGCUGCGCGGUGGUGGCAAAGGCGGACCUAAAAUGCCUUUGCGGAUUAAAGAAUAGUCCCUUGGUGCCAACUUUGGGGAUCGAUCUAAACCUCGCCUUUCAGCUCCCUGCAAAGUGUAACCUUUCUCUCCCUCCGCAAUGUUAAUGCUAUAAAGAAUUCAAGAUCACUAUACUACCAAAUCUACCUCCUGUCUGUAAACACAAACUACUCAAUAAUCAAUAAUAUAGUAAUAAGUAAUAACAAUGGAUUAUUGCUUUCUGUUAACUCCCUUCUCACCCUCAACUCCCCCCUUCCUUUUCUUUUCUCCGUUUUUUUUUAUCCUAUUGUCAAAAUUCCAAUUUUAGUUAGGUUUAAUAAGAGUAUUUAGAUUCGUGUUUGAGAAAAAAAAUUACCAUCAAAUCGAUUAAAUAUUAAUUGAUUUUGGUAAUUGGUUCGAAUUAAGACUUUUUGAGUAGAUUAACUCUGAAUUCAAAUCAAUUAAAGUCUAGUUUAAUUGGGUCAAAAAAUUUGAUUAUAUUCUAUUACCCAUCAAAUCUAAAAUUAAUAUAAUCAAUCUAUAUUGAUUUUAGUAAAAAAAAAUUGAAUUAUCUGUACCUGUAAACAUCACAAAACUUUAAAAUAGUAUUUAUUUAGCAUUCAUAUGCACUAAAAAUAUGAACACAGUAACAAAGUGUAUGUCAUCUAUCUAUAAACUUAACUAUUCAAUAAUACAGUAAUAACAAUGGAUUAUUGCUUUCGCUAAUUCCCUUCAUUCUCACCCUCAAUUUUUGUCCUCCCCUUCUUCACUCUUUUUUUUUUCUCUUCUUUUCUUUUCUACUACGUUUAUAAUAAAAUUGAGUAAAGAAUAAAUUAAUACAUAUAAACUCUUAUAUUGUCUUGUUGAGAUUUUAUAUAAUCUAUUUGAAAUAAAUAUCAUCAAAAAGUAAAUAAUAAAUAUUACUAUUUGUUAACUUUAUUUUUUCAUGAUCUUUUAUAAUUUAAUCAUCUUAAUAUAAAAUUGAAAACAGACCAAAAAAAUCGUAAAAUAUUGUGAUAAGUAUGAAUGGAUGGAUGUCCAUUUAUUAUAGGGUGACUUUCUUUACAAUAUUGAGCGGCCAACUUUUUCAAGAUUGAAGGAAUCAAUCUUCAAGACAGAUGCAAAUAAAUAAAUUUUGAAAAGUAAGGCUUAGUAUGUGUAUAAAUAGAGGUUUAAACCUCUGACAACAUACACAAUCAAUAAUAACACAUAUUCUCUCUUUAUAUUGAAUACUCUCUCUCUUUAUAUACAUUAUAUAAUAUCUAAUAUUAGUAAUACAUAUAGGAAUUAUUGUUAUUGAGCUAAUUAUAUUAAUAUUAGAGUCUUCUAUUUACACAUCUUUAUUUUAUAUUUGGUAUAUCUUUUAUUUAUUUUACAACACGUCAUCAGCACGACACUCUGAUCAAAUUUUUAGGAAGACUCAGGUAACAAAUUUUCAUUAUGUCGAAACUCUCUCAUCUUGAAUUCAAUGCUCUUGAUAUAUCUGGAAACAAUUAUUUAUCAUGGAUAUUAGAUGCUGAAAUCCAUCUUGAUUCAAUGGAUCUUGGAGAUACCAUUAAUGCUGAAAAUAAUGCAUCCCAGAAGGAUAAAGCCAAAGCCAUGAUUUUUUUUCGUCGUCAUCUUGACGAAUGAUUGAAAAAUGAAUAUCUCACAUUAAAAGAUCCUGCAAAUCUUUGGAAAGACCUUGAAGAAAGGUACAAUCAUCAAAAAACGGUGAUACUUCCUCAAGCCCGAUAUGAGAGGAUGCACUUGCGUCUGCAGAAUUUUAAAUCCAUAAAUGAAUAUAAUUUUGCAAUGUUUCGAAUCACCUCACGAAUAAAAUUAUGUGGAAAAAAGAUAACUGACCAUGAUAUGUUGGAGAAAACUUUCUCAACCUUCCAUGCCUCGAAUGUGCUCCUGCAGCAGCAGUAUCGAGAAAAAGGGUUUAAAAAAUAUUCUGAGUUAAUUUCUUGCCUUCUUGUUGCUGAACGCAACAAUGAGUUGCUAUUGAAAAAUCAUGAAGCGCGCCCAGUUGGCGCCGCCCCAUUUCCUGAAGUAAAUGCGGCAAAUUACCCCAGAAGAGGUAAAUUGCAAGGUUUUAAUAAUAAGAAAAAUUAUAGAAGGAAAAGAAAUUAUAUUCAAAAGAGAGGAUCUCACCAGAAGUGGGAUAAAGAAAGAAAUAUCGGACAGAAUAAAUCAACAGAGAAUAAGUGUUUCCGUUGUGGUGGAAAGGGCCAUUAGUCACGUACCUACCGUACCCCAAGGCACCUAGUCGAUCUUUACCAGGCAUCUUUGAAAAAGGACGACAAGAAAAAAGAAUCGAAUUUCGUUUCAAAUGAAACUGAAAAUUCCACCACUCAUUAUGAUGUAUCUGAUUUCUUUGAAGAUCCUGAAGAAAAUAUUGGUCAUUUGAUUAAUGAUGGAAUAGUUUAAUGUGUGAGAUUGUUAAGUAUUCAUGUAAAUAAAUAAUGUAAAGAACUUAUUGUUAAGUUUUAUUUUCUAUGUAUUUAAGUUUUAAAUAUGAUGUAUAUAAAUAAUGAAAUAUUAAUGUUUAUGAAUUUUGAAAUAAUUAAAUAUGUCAUGUUUUAAAAUAAAAUUUUAGUAUAUGACAUUAUUUUUAUGUGCAGUAUUUCUUAGAAAAAUAAUUUCGAUCAAGUAUUCAAUUUAACUGUGCAUACUACUCAUUUUAUUAUUAUUUGUCUUUGAAGAAAAGGGCAAUGAUAUGUAAUGAAGAUGUAUGCCUUGUGGAUAGUGCAAGUUCGCACACUAUUCUAAAAAGUGAUAUAUAUUUUACCCAUCUUGUGCCAAAAGAAGAAUGUGUUAAUACUAUUAUCGGUUCAGGUAAUGUGAUUGAAGGCUUCGGAAGAGCUAUAAUUUUGUUUCCCGCCGAAAUGGAUAUCAUAUUUAGACUAUGAAUGAGGGAAGUCAUGAGUACUUAUGUAUUACAACUCAUGAUUCAAAUAAAAAGGUUAUAUUAGAAAAGUUGGCCUCACUUUCAUCUGGGUUAUAUUAUACCAAGAUUAGUGCAAUUGAAUCACAUGCCACUGUAAACCAUAAGUUUACUAGCCCAAAUGAAUUCAUAACUUGGCACGACCGAUUGGGUCAUCCGGGAACAACCAUGAUGAGAAGAAUUAUUGAAAACUCACAUGGACAUUCACUAAAGAACCAGAAAAUUCUUAAAACUAGUGAAUUUUGUUGUGCUGCAUGUUUUGAGGGAAAGUUAAUUUUAAGGCCAUCACCAGUAAAGGUUGGAUUUGAGUCCCCUGAAUUCCUAGAAAGGAUUCAAGGUGAUAUAUGUGGACCUAUUCAUCAAUCAUGUGGAUCUUUUAGAUAUUUUAUGGUCCUGAUAGACGCAUCUUCGAGAUGGUCACAUGUGUGCUUAUUGUCCUAUCGCAACCUGGCGUUUGUGAGAUUACUGGCUCAAAUUAUUCUAUUAAAAGCACAAUUUCCAGAAAAUCCAAUCAAAGCAAUUCGUCUUGAUAAUGCUGGUGAAUUUACUUCCUAAUCUUUUGAUGCUUAUUGUAUGGCUAAUGGAAUAAGUGUUGAACAUCCAGUAGCUUAUGUUCACACACAAAAUGGGUUAGCAGAAUCACUUAUUAAAUGCCUCCAAUUAAUUGCUAGACCAUUGCUUAUGAGAACAAAUCUCCCAACCUCGGUUUGGGGCAUGUUAUUUUACAUGUCGCAACACUUAUUCGUUUGAGGCCAACGAGUUACCAUCAGUUAUCUCCUAUGCAAUUAGCAUUUGGCCAGCAGCCAAAUGUUUCCCAUUUAAGGAUAUUUGGGUGUGCGAUAUAUGUUCCCAUUGCACCACCUAAUCGCACCAAAAUGGGACCCCAAAGAAAAUUGGGGAUAUAUGUUGGAUAUGAUUCUCCCUCUAUAGUGAAGUAUCUUGAGAGACAAACCGGAGAUGUAUUUAAAGCCCGGUUUGCGGAUUGUCAUUUUGAUGAAUCAAAAUUUCAAACAUUAGGGGGAGAGAAUAAGCUUCCUGAAAAGGAACUUAAUUGGAAUGUAUCAUCGUUGAUGCAUUUAGAUCCUCGAUCAGGGCAAUGUGAACUUGAAGUUCAAAAGAUUAUACAUUUGCAAAGAAUAGCAAAUGAAUUGCCGGAUGCAUUUUUCGAUACAAAGAGGAUAACCAAAUCUUAUAUACCAGUGGAAAAUGUCCCAAUUCGAAUUGAUGUCCCAGUUGGACAAAUUGCCACCGAAGCAAAUACACACCAGAAGCGUGGCAGGCCUGUCGGUUCCAAAGACAAAAAUUCUCGAAAAAGAAAAGAGGUAAAUACGAUUCCUGUUGAAAAAGGCAUAGUAGAGACACCUGCAGUUGUCCAAAAUUAUGAUAUAGUUUUAACGCCAGAAGACGUUCAGGUACCUGAAAAUUGUGAAAAUAACGAGAUCUCGAUAAAUUAUGUCUUUACAGGAGAGAAAUGGGACCGAAAUAAGACAAUUGUCAAUAAAAUAUUUGCAUAUAAUAUGGCAUUAAAUAUCAUGCAUGAAAAUAAGGAUCUUGAGUCAAGAUCAGUCGAAGAAUGUCGACAAAAAAAUGAUUGGCUAAAAUGGGAAGCAGCCAUGAAGGCUGAAUUAGACUCACUUGCAAAACGUGAAGUUUUUGGACCUGUAGUCCGUACACCUGAAGAUGUAAAACCUGUUGGAUACCGAUGGACAUUUGUGAGAAAACGAAAUGAGAAAAAUGAAGUUGUGCACUACAAAGUCCGACUUGUGGCACAAGGUUUUUCACAAAGGCCCAGUAUAGAUUAUGAAGAAACGUAUUCCCCUGUAGUGGAUGCGAUAACAUUGCGUUAUUUGGUCAGUUUAUCUGCAUAUCAUAAACUACAUAUGCAUUUAAUAGAUGUGGUAACAACCUAUUUAUACGGCUCAUUAGAUCGGGAUAUCUAUAUGAAAGUCUCUGAAGGACUAAAGAUAUCUAAACCAUCCAAUGAAUAUUCACAAGGGUUAUACUUAGUCAAAUUACAAAGAUCUUUAUAUGGUCUAAAGUAAUCUGAACGAAUGUGGUAUAAUCAUCUUACUAAGUAUUUGGCCAAAAACGGAUUCAAGAAUGAUGAUAUCUGCCCCUGUAUUUUCAUAAAGAAAACUUCAUUUGGAUUCAUUAUAAUUGCUGUGUACGUUGAUGAUUUAAAUAUCAUUGGGACUCUUGAAGAGAUUCCAACAAUUAUAAAAACUCUAAAAGAAGAGUUUGAGAUGAAAGAUCUUGGAAAGACUAAGUUUUGUCUCGGCCUGCAAAUCGAGCAUAUAAAAAGUGGGAUCUUUAUUCAUCAAACAACAUACACAGAAAAGAUCUUGAAGAGAUUUUAUAUGGAUAAGUCACAUUCAUUAAGUACCCCAAUGAUCGUAAGAUCUUUGGAUGUGGAGAAGGAUCAAUUCCGUCCUAAAGAAGAAAAUGAAGAUAUCAUUGGUCGUGAAAUACCAUAUCUUAGUGCCAUUGGAGCACUAAUGUAUAGUGGAAUCAAACAAAUCUUUCGAUAUCUUCAUGGAACAGUUGAUAUGGGAUUAUUUUAUCCAUAUGGAUCCAAGUCACAACUAGUUGGCUAUACAAAUUCUAGAUACUUGUCUGAUCCACAUAAAGAGAGAUCUCAAAUAGGAUACUUGUUCACAUAUGGUGGAACGGCUAUAUCUUGGAGGUCCACGAAACAGACAAUUGCUACAACAUCUUCUAAUCAUGCCGAAAUACUAGCGAUUCAUAAAGCAAGUCGCAAGUGUUUUUGGCUCAGGAAUUUGAUCCAAUAUAUUCUGUCAUCAUGUGGACUGAUUGAUCAUAAGAUAGCUCCAACUGUCCUGUUUGAAGAUAAUACAACAUGCAUUGCUCAAUUUAAAGGCGGAUACAUCAAAGGUGAUAGAACAAAGCAUAUUUCUCCCAAAUUCUUCUUCACUCAUGAUCUUCAAAAUCAAUGAACAAUUGAUGUCCAACAGAUCCGCUCAAGUGACAAUCUGGCAGAUUUAUUUACAAAGUCACUCCCAAAAUCCUCCUUUGAAAGAUUGAUACAUGAGAUUAGGAUGCGUCGAUUUCGAGACAUCAAAUGAUGUCGACAAGAGGGGGAGAUUGUACUAUUUUUCCCUUGGUCAGGUUUUUUUCCUAUUGGAUUUUUCUUGACAAGGUUUUUAAUGAGGCAGUCCCAUCACAAAGGAUAUUGUACUCUUUUUCCUUCACUAAAAAUUUUUUUUUCCACUGGAUUUUUCUUUAAUAAGGUUUUAAUGAUGCAUAUUCCUAAAUGGCCAUCCAAGGAGGAGUAUUGUGAUACGUAUGAAUGGAUGGAUGUCCAUUUAUUAUAUGGUGACUUUCUUCACAAUAUUGGGCGGCUAACUUUCUCAAAAUUGAAGGAAUCAAUCUUUAAGACAGAUACAAAUAAAUAAAUUUUAAAAAGUAAGGCUUAAUAUGUGUAUAAAUAGAGGUUUAAAUCUCUAACAAUAUAUAUGAUCAAUAAUAACAAAUAUUCUCUCUUUAUAUUGAAUACUUCUCUCUUUUUAUAUACAUUAUAUAAUAUCUAAUAUUAGUAAUACAUGCAUAUAGAAAUUAUUGUUAUCAAACUAAUUAUACUAAUAUUAAAAUCUUUUAUUUAUACAUCUUUAUUUUAUAUUUAAUAUAUCUUUUAUUUAUUUUACAACAUAAAAUUAGUAGUCUAGUAUCCAUACUUAUUAGCCACUCUAUCAGACGGAUAUUUCUUUCUCGAUAUGUCUGACCAAGUUGAACAUUCCAAUUUAUUGCAUUGCAAGAAGAGAUAUAAUAGCAUCCACUAAAAAGUGGUUAGUAUGUUGAGAUUCACAUGUUCUCUCUGGCACAAGCAACUUGAUGACAACUUUAGAAUAUAACAUCCAAAAUGAUCUGAUAAUAACCAACAAGUAAAAUUAUGAACUAACAUUAAUUUGUUUCGUAUCAGAGCAGAUAUCUUUUUUAUGUGAAUAAUUAAUAUAAUAUUUUUUUAUCUACUUAAUCUAUUAAAAUUNNNNNNNNNNNNNNNNNNNNNNNNNNNNNNUUCAAUUAAUUAAUAAAUUUAAUUUUGGUUGCUAUGUUUUAUUUUUUACAUAAUUAUGUUAAUUAUUGUCAAUCAUUAUACAUCAAAUUAGCAUUUACUACAUAAUUAUAUUAAUUGUCAAUAAUUUUUUUUAUAAAUAUACAUCAAAUCAGCAUUUAAUACAUAAUUAUGUUAAUUGUCAAUAAUUUUAAUUUUCAAUCAUUGUAAUAUAAUUUUAAAUUAGUCGUAAUUUCCAGCAAGUUAAUAUUGAUAUCUACCUUAAAAAAUAAAACAAAUUAAAAAUCUAUGAUUUUAAUCGUGAUAAAAAUGUAUAUGAUAUGAUAAUGACUCAUUCAAUCACGGUAAAUAUAUGAUAUAUAACGUAAAUAAUAAAAAAUCAACUUAAUAAUAAUUAAUUUAUAAUAAUUAAUUUAUAUAUUAUUUUUUUAUAUACUCAUUCUAUUAUAUUGUUCUUUUGAUAAUUUAAUGAUUGUUCUUACUCCAACUUAUUCUUUUCGUCUAAUAUUCCAGUGCGAUUGUCUUUUGCUGUAAUCGUUUAUAAUGCACCACAUCCAUCAAAUACCAUCUCAAGUUGUAUUCACUGAUUCAGGUUUUAAUUACAUAGAUGUAAGCGUUCAACGAAGGGACAAUAAACUCUAUUUUACUGAAACAUGGUUGAAUCUACUCAUUUAUUAUGACCAACCAAAUGGAAUAUGACUGGGUAAAGUUAGUUUUUUUUUUGGAGGAGCUCGAUUUUUUAUUGAGGAAUUGUUUCCAUGAAGUUUUGUAGGCAAAGUUCAUGUUCUAUCCCCUCCAUACUUUCUACGCCUGCCCAAAAGUCUUCGAAGUGGAGCACAUAAUGAGAUUGAAUUUCCUCAAUUUAUGUUCAGUUUUGGUAAAUUCGUAUCUUACUCGGAGAUGCAAUUUCAACGAUUGGUAAUAUAUUCAAAUUUUCUCAUUUUAAUUUUUUGUAAUUAAAAUAAUUUUAUAACAUAUUAUGAUUUUUUUUCCAGAAAUUACCGCUUUCUUUUGCAUCAAUACAAUGCCAUUAUAUUGAGGGGAAUAAAUGUCAGUUUAAUUUUUCGAUGUGAUAAUUGUAUACCUUGUCGCGUUGCAUGGAUAGCAGAUGAUGAAGCUUAUUUAAUAAGGGGAUAGUCUGAAUUUGCACGAAUUCUAAAUGUUCAAACUUAUGAUGUUGUCUCAAUUGAUUAUCAUUACGAGAAUGACUCUAAUUUAUACGUGUCUAAGGACUAGAAUAAAUUAAAUAUUAUUUAAGUAAUUUAGUUCUAAUAUUAGUAUUUGAUUAAAUUAGUUUUAGAUUAAUUUAAAUUAUUGUCUUAAUUUAUAUAUUACGACUAUUCUUUUUUAAUAUGUUAUUUUUAAAUUUUUGAAUAUGAAGUUUUUCUUUCUUUUUUCGAUUUUUAAGUUAUUUUUAUUUGUUCCGAGUAUAACUAAGAGGAAAAAAAUAGCCAAAUUAAAAAAACUGUAAAUAAUAAAUAUUAUUUUUUAUAUGACAAUUAUUUUAAUCAAUUAUGUAAAAUUAUUGUAAACAAAUAAUAAAAUAAUUAAUAAUUGGGUACGAAUAAAUCAACAAUAAUAUUUAUUAAAAGUUUUAUACGUGCAAUAAUAUUCUUAGUUGUGUUUAUUACGGUGUACAAUUAGUGUGUGUAUAUAUAUAUACACACACUGAGUAAUAGUGAUAUUUUACAAUUAGUUAUCACGUUCAUUGUAAACGAUUGUGGCAAAAGAUAAUCACACUGAAACAUUAGACGAAAAGAAUAAGUUGGAGUAAUAACAAUCAUUAAAUUAUCAAAAGAAUAAUAUAAUAGAAUGAGUAUAUAAAAAAUACUAUAAAAAAUUAUAAAUUGUACCUUAAGCCAUUAUCAUGUCAUAUAUUUUUUUAUCAUGAUUAGAAUCAUAGAUUUUUGUUUUAAUUUUUUAAGGUAGAUAUCAAUAUCAACUUGUCGAAAAUUACGAUUAAUUUAAAACUAUAUUAUAAUGAUUGAAAUUCAAAAUUAUUAACAAUUAACAUAAUUAUGUAUUAAAUGCUGAUUUGAUGUAUAAUUAUAAAAAAAUUAUUGACAAUUAACAUAAUUAAUGAUUGACAAUUAAUAUAAUUAUGUAGAAAAUAAAACAUAGCAACUACAAGUAAAUUUGUUAAUUAAUUGAGCUAGAUAAACAAUAUUUGGCAAUUAUUUUAGCAUUUAAUUAUUGAUAUCUAUAUCAUCAUCAUCAAUUGAUAUCAAUAUAAAUGGGUCACUAUUAACGUAACAACUUGUCACUAAUAAAAUUAUUGCAUAAUAAAUGAGAAUUAGAAUUGUAUCAAUAUAAUUAAAAUGAUUAAAAAUAUUUCUGAUUGAUAAUUAGUUUAAUAAUGCAUUAAAUAUUAAUUUUAUAUAAUUAUAACAAAGAUAUCUAAAUUAGUAUAAUUAUGCAUUAUUCAUUAAAUACUAAUUGUAAUAUAAUUGUAAUAUUGUAAUAUAAUUAUAAUAAAGAUAUUUUUUAAAAUAAAUUUAGAAGAGAGAAUAAUGCUUUCAUUUAGGAGAAAAAAUGAAUUUAUGAGAAAUUGACACCUUACUUUCAUUAGUGAGAAAAAACUCAAUUUUAGUAUAUUAUAAGUAGAAGUAGAUAGUGAUGUUUUAUAAUUAUUUGUCACAUGCAUUGUAAAUGAUUGCGGCAAAAGACAAUCGCACUGAAACAUUAGACAAAAAGAAUAAAUUGGAGUAAGAACAAUUAUUAAAUUAUCAAAAGAAUAAUAUAAUAGAAUGAGUAUAUAAAAAAUACUAUAAAAAAAAUAUAAAUUGUACCUUAAAAGGAUCCACUUCGAUGAAAAACGAAAAAUACAUUUUUAUUCUAUGAAGUAGUCAAGGAAGAAUAAUAAAUUAAAAAAAAUAGAGUUGACUUUCNNNNNNNNNNNNNNCUAUAAAAAAAAAGACAACAUAAAUAAUUAUAUAUCUAAUGAAAACAACUGCAUGAUAAUUAGAGAUACAAUACCGAAAAUGUGCCUAAAGUAAUGCCAAAGACAAGGCUGCUUUUGCUGACUGCAAUCAAUUCUACGCGUAUAUAACUGCAGAGCACCAGCAGUGUUUGACAUACACACUUCAAUCUGAGUGAGAAAAGAAGAUCAGAAGAUGAGGAUAUCAUCAAUGGUGGCACUAUCAAUAAUGGCGUUAACUUUGGUUGCAGUGCUUCAUGGUUGCAUGGCGGCGCAGCUGCCGUCGGAAUGCAACAUCAGAGAUUUGAUUCCGUGCAAGCCGGCCUUGACAGAGCCGAAUCCUCUGCCGCCGUCGGAAGUUUGCUGCUCGUUGCUGUCAAAGGGAGACUUGUUGAAAUGUCUUUGCCGAUUCAAGGAUUCUCCAUUGUUGCCAUCGAUGGGGAUUGAUCCAAAUCUCGUCGUGCUGCUCCCUAAAAAGUGCCACCUUCCUCAACCUUUUAUAUGUUUAUCAUAAUAAUCCUAUCAAAUCAUUAUUACUACCAAAUCUGCUCUCUAUCUGUAAAUUUAACUAUGCAAUAAUACAGUAAUAACAAUGGAUUAUUGCUUUCAUUAAUUAAUUCCCUUUUCACCCUCAAUCCCCCGCCCCCCUUUUUUUUUUCUUUCAUCCUAUUGUCAUAAUUCCAAUUUUAUUUAGGUUUUAAGAUAGUAUUAUUUAGUCUCUAUACAUCUACUAAACACGGAUACUAAUUUAACGUGGAAAAUAUAAUUCACAUGUCGUUGUUUUAAUUUAAUUUAUUCACAUUUUUAUCGUACUAGUACGUAUGAAUUUAUCAUCACAUCGAAGCAAACAUCUUAUAUUUAAGACAUAUUUUUACUUAUAAUGACGUCAUGUCAACAAUAAUUUUACUUGGCAAAACUUGAAAAUCAACCAAUCAUCUUUUAGAAAAAGAUUUUAAAAAAUUUAAAAGAAAAAAAAUUCUUAUCAUUAUUAUUCAAUUAAAACAUAAAAUAUUAAUUAAAUACAAUAAAUAUACAAUUAGCAAAAACUCCUUCAAGUAUACAUUAAAAGUGUCAUAAUAAUAAUUCUAAAAAAUUUUAGUUACAAAUAUUAAAAUUCUACAACUUAUACAUUUUAAUACUCUUAUUACUACAUUAUUUGGUCUACUUAUGCAUGCUAUAUAAGACACUACUACUCUUUAUUUCUUAAUCUCUCAUGCCAAAUAGCUAAAACUCCUUCAAAAAGUUUAAAUUUGCCACAUUAUUGUCUUACUAAACAUUCAAAUAUAUCAUAAUUAUAAAAUUAAUUUAUAAUUUUAUAUUUAUAUAUUUUAAUAUUUUUCAUUCUCAUUCAUUUUUCUAAACCCAAAUAAAUUUAAAUUUAACAUAUUUUCUUACUUAGUAUAUUCAAAUAUAUCAUAAUUAUAAAACUAAUUUAUAUUUUUGGUAUUUCUCAUUCUCAUUUAUUUUUUAUUUUUUUAAUAAUUUACAACCCAAAGAAUAUCAUAUGAAAAGAUAAAGUAUGACAGCUAAAACAAAUGUAAAAAUUUUUUGCACAUUGUGCGAAUCUCACUCUAAUUUAUCUUAAACCACACAUGAUACUACGACAUAACUCACUUUAGUAUAUUAUAUACUAAACACAAUACCAAAAUUUAAUUUAGUCUUUAUCUUUCAGUCUCUGCCUCUCAAUCUCAAUCUUUUUUCCAAAUGUAAUUUUAACAAAAAACAACCUCUAAAUCUCUUCGACACACAAGAAGAGCUACAGAAUUCUUCUUUUACAAUAUGUGAUAGUGAUGAACUUUAGAAAUAAUAAUCUCUCUCAAAAUUAGAUCAUAUAAUUACAAAUAAAGUACUGAGUAAUUUCAAACUACCAAUCAAAUAUUUAUCAAAAAUACUUUGAAACUUAUAAAUUUUGAUCACAAUGAAAGAUUAAGCAUAAAAGAAAGUUGUGUAUUAAAACAAAGGACCUAUACCUUUAUUUAUAAGCAUUCAUGCACCCAUAAACAUUAGGAGUGAGUGAAAAGAAUAAAUAACUAAAAAGUGUUUGUUUGCUCGUCAAGUCCGGUCGUGGAACGAGGUGGUCGGUUACGUGAAACAGUUGAUGAGAGACAGGACCUGAAUGAAAACGCCACGGGUAGGACAGGUUCACGAUUUGUCGGUUGGAUGAUAGAUGGGAUUACCUACAAGCAGCGAUGGAUUNNNNNNNNNNNNNNNNNNNNNNNNNNNNNNNNNNNNNNNNNNNNNNNNNNNNNNNNNNNNNNNNNNNNNNNNNNNNNNNNNNNNNNNNNNNNNNNNNNNUAUAAUAUUAUAAAAUAUGAUUACUAAUAGGAUAAAAUUAUGUGAUUAUUAAUAGGAUUCAAUCUCUAAUGAUGAAGUUCUUUUGAAAUAUUUUUCCGUUACUAAUAGGAUAAAAUUAUAAACCUAAAUUAAUUAAUUAAUAAAAUUAAUUUACAAUUCUACACAAAUUGAAAAGUUCAAUAUCAAAUUAUAAAUACAAAAUUAACAGGCAUGUGCCAUUUAAAUUAAUUUCUAACGGCAGCAACUAAUAAUACCUCAAAUUCUUAAUUCAAAAUAACUCAAUACACAAAAAUAAUUAACAAACAAAUUAAUAAAACUAAAUUAGCAAUUACAUCUUCAGAACAAAUUAAUCACAAUUACCAAACCAACUAUAUCAAUUAUCAAACAAUGAAGCAAAUAAACAAUGAAGCAACUAACUAACUAAGCAACGAGGCAACUAAGCAAGUAGAUAUCGGUUUCGAUGAAUCAUGAAUGUACCAAGAGUCCAAGACUGAAGUGCUAAACUCCAGGAGGCAGAACCCAGUACCGGUGCGGCGGCCAGCGGCAGCAGGCAACAGGAUGAAGGUUUCUUUAACGGCUGAAGACUGAACACUGAACUAAGAAGAGGAUCCUAGAAUAAAAAGGAAGAACCAGAAGAGGAUUGCUAUUUGCUGAAGAAGAAGAAGAAAGAACCAGACACCAAACUAUCGAUUGAGGGAACGCAGAAGAGAAAAGCAGCAGUAAAACCACACAAAUCACAACCAGUGACAUAGAAGAGGAACGCAGUUACGCAAAAGAAGGUAGAACCAUCAGAUGUGGCGCAACGACGAUGUAAGGAGAAACCGACGAAGCCACGCAGGAGAAUAGUGGCGAUACAAGGAGAAACCGACGGAGCCACGCAUGAGAAAUUAAAUGCUGAAUAGGGUAGUGAUGUCAGCGGAAGUGAGCCAAUGACACUGCCAUACUGGCGGAGAUGUGGAGUGGCGACAGUAACUCUAGAGCCUAGAGGGAAGAGGCUGGAGUAGAGGAAGAAAAUUGGAAAAGGGGAGAAGAAGAAGAGCUAGGAAGUUGAGGUGGGAGCAAAAUUAAUUAUGUAGUGGGGGCAACUGUGAUAUUUCACUAAGAACUACUCACUACUUUUUGAAAUUUCACUAGGGACAGUUAUCCCACUGUCUUGUGAAUACAUCCAGCUCUGCCUGUAAAAACACUCUGAUGCUAAAGUAAGCGUUUGUACGAAAAGGCGGCUAAUUAGGGUAAGGAAGCGACGUACCUCGAGGAGGAGUAGGUCCCGAGCUCCCCUUAUAUACCUUAUACUUCGGGUGGGCUCCUUUUGCUCAAGCCCAAGCGUCUAGAAGCUUCUGACAGUUCAUCGGGUCGUCAGCCCAUCUAAUGGACCUCCAGUCGUUAUUGGGCAGGGCCAAAACAAAAAACAUACAUUCUUGGUAGGAUCUUGUGUCUACAAGGAUGUUAGGAUCGAUCCUCAAAAUUAAAGAUCAAUCAUCUAGUUUAAAUUUGUGUAAAAUACAGCACUACAACAUAUGAGGAUUGAUCCUCCAUUUUAACAUAGAAAUUGAUCCUCUCUAGACUUAGAUUUUAGCAAAUUUGAAUUUCGAGUCUUAGUACCUUAUGCAUGAUUGGAUUGGAACAUAGUUAUAGCUAAUGUGAUCAAACAAAAUAUUAAUAAUUUAAUAUUUAUCUCAAUUAAAUCAAAUAAAUAAUUAAUUAUAUAACACCUUUAAAAUUAUUUGUCAAAAUACUUAAUUAAGGUCGAGUUUAAUCGGGUCAGACUUGAUUGUAUCCGAUUAUCUGUUGGGUCUAAAACUAAUAUAAUCGACUUUGAUUGGAUAAUUGAGUUAUCCAUACCUAGUGACAAAUUUAGAAAAUUUUAGAAAUGGGGACAAAAUAAAUAAUAAUAUAGCAAAAUAAUAAAAAAUUAUUACUAUCAAUAUAUUUAGAUAUUUAAAUUUUGGAAUAUAUUAGUUAGUCAAAUUUUUAAUAAAUAAAUGUAAUUAAUCUAUCUAAAAGUAUAUUAAUUUAAAAAUAUUUUUUAUUUUAAUAUUUUAACAAUAUUGCAUGAGUAAUACAUAUAUUAUUGAUACUAGAACUUAGUUAGGUAUCUAAUAUCCGUCAAAUUAUAUUUUUUAUUAUUUUUUAUAUGACAUAAAAAAGAAUUAUAACUCAAUAGCUAAAAAUCUAUAAGGAGUAUAACUUGAAUGAACUUAUUUAGAAUUUUCACUAUUUUUUAGGUUUAAAUUUUCACUAAAUUUAUGUGCGAGGGACAAAAAACUUAUAAAAAAUAAAAUUUUAAAUCAAACAACCACAAUCCUCUUUAUAGGUAGAUAUAGAUAAAUUAAUAUUUUUACGAUUAAGUAAAUAUUUAAAUAAAUUUUUUANNNNNNNNNNNNNNNNNNNNNNNNNNNNNNNNNNNNNNNNNNNNNNNNNNNNNNNNNNNNNNNNNNNAAUAUGAAUAUUUUUUACACAAUAUUUUUUUUUAAGUAUUGGGGCAAAGGAACAAUUAUCUACAUAUACAUAUAUACUUGUCAUUGGUUUUUGAAAAACUCAACAAGAAUAAUUACCCCACAUAAGUAUAUAUAGAUUCGUUCUUCUCCGUAUCCGUAAACACCUAGACUUUUUUUUCUAAACAAAGAAAGCUCAACACAUGAGAGUGGAGCAUAAAACAGACAUAAACAGAAAAAAAUCUAAAAACAAAAGGUAACAAUCCUAUGUCAUUUCUGGCAUUGUCAUCAACAACCAGUAGGAUCAAUACCAGUCCACUCCUUAUAGUUCAAAAACGUUCUGUUUUGUAUGACACCAACAUUAACCUCUUGAUUGUUGAAGAUCCUGUUAUUGCGUUCUAACUAGACAUUCCAAACAACCGCAAAAAAACCAGCCAGCCACCUCUUAUGCUCUUCUUUUCUAUUUGGCGUUUCAUUCCAACUCUCAAACAAGCCUUUAAUGCUUCCUAGGACAGCCGAAUCUUUGUGAAAACAUCUCAACCAGACGCACCACACCUGCCAUGUAAACUCACAGAAGUCAGAACACAAACAAAUGAUGAACACACUCGAUUUCCUUUUUACACAAGACACAGAUAUUAUCAUGCUGUUGAAGUAUGCCUAAUCUACUCGACCUUUCUUUAGUAUUCACUCUUCCCACUAACACAAACUAACCAAACAGCUCGACUCUAGUCGGAGCCAACCCUUUCCAAAUCGCACUUGUGAAGCUAUAACUCGUAAUCUCCUCCGAAAGAUUCUCAGAUUGCAACACCUGCAAAAAAGAGUUAGUAGAAAAAAUACCUUUAUUAUCAAAUUUCCAAACAAGAUUAUCCUCUCUGUUAGCUGAUAGUUUCACUGGUCUUAACCUCUCAUGAAGUUGGUGCACUAGUUCCAACUCCUAUUGAAAUAACUCGCUCCUCCAAUGAAAAUUCCAAAUCCACUUUAACCCAUCCCAGAACCCACAAUCCCCUAUCACAGAUUCUUGUUGGUUUGAAACAGAGAAGAGUCUUGGAAAACUCGCUUUCAGAGGACCACCAUAGACCCAGUUAUCUUCCCAGAAACGUGUUCUAUGCCCAUUUCCAACUUCCAUUGUCAGCCCACUCAUCAUUUUUUUUUACCCGAUGUUCCUUUAUAUUCAACUGACAUAUGUCUUUCCAAGGGCCACCCUUUACUGGUAGAGUCUGACUAGAAAGCAUAACCUGAGAAUUCAAAUUAUUACAGGAGCAUACAAUCUUCUUCCAUAACGGACAAUCUUCCUUAGAGAACCGCCACCACCACUUAAACAGUAGCGCUGUGUUCUUGAGCACUGCAUCCCCACCCCCAACCCUCCAGCCUUCUUAGGAGCCUGAACCAUUUCCCACUUCACUAAAGGUAUACCGUUGUUACCAUCCUUCUUACACCAUAGGAAUCUCCUCUGCAAGGCAAUCAACUUGUCAGCGACCGCCUUCGGCAUCUUGUACAAGCUAAGGUAGUAAAUCGGCAGGCUAUUCAACACUGAUUUAAUAAGAACUAGCUUGCCUGCUUUAUUUAGAACCUUCGCUUUCCAUAAGCUGAGCUUCGCUUCCACCUUAUUUAUGACAGGUUUCGAAGUCUUCACCAAACGCGGGUUCGUUCCUAGAGAAAUUCCGAGAUACCUCACAGGUAAAACAACUUGCUUGCAUUCUAGAAGGCCACACACAUGCUCCACCCGCUCCUGCUCACAAUUAACUAAGAUGAGAUUCGACUUAUCAAAGUUAAUGCUCAAACCCGACAUCAGCUCAAAACACCGCAGCAACCUCUUAUAAUUCACAAUUGUCUCUGUCUCCGGAGGGCAAAAUAGGAUAGUGUCAUCCGCAAAUUGAAGAUGUGACAGUUCAAUAUGUUCUCUCCCAACCCGUAGCGGAGUAAUACGCUCAUUCCUUACAGCUUCUUCCAACAUCCUAUGCAACACAUCCACCACAAGAACAAACAGAAGAGGAGACAGAGGAUCUCCUUGCCUUAGGCCCCUCUCCAUCUUAAAUGGCUUGGAUGAUGAUCCAUUCACUAGGACCGACAUAGUUGCCGUACUUACACACUCCUUCACCCAACUCCUCCAUAUUUGCCCGAAUCCCAUCUUCUGUAAUACAAUAUCCACAAAGCUCCAUCUAACUCUAUCAUAUGCUUUCUGAAAAUCUAGCUUUAUGAUUAUUGCCACCUUCUUUCUAUGCGUCUUGAGCCAUUGCACCGUCUCACAGGCAAUAAGGGCGCCAUCAUGAAUCUUUCUACCCUUCACAAAAGCAGUUUGCGUCUCUCCUACCAAUUCAGGCAUAACUGUUCUCAACCUCCUCACCAUAACCUUAGAAAUCACCUUAUAGACACACCCGACCAUACUAAUCGGCCAGAAGUCCUUGAUCUCAUUAGCACCCACAAAUUUCGGAGCUAGCGUCACCCACGUGACAUUCGCAUCAGUUGGUAGUUUCGCACUUUGGAAGAACCCCAACACCGCUGCAGUGAACUCCUGACCAAUCUCUUCCCAACAUUGUUUGAUAAAGUUCAUAUUGUACCCAUCACUCCCUGGUGCUUUAGAAGAUUCACAAUCCGAAACUGCAUUCCUAAUCUCCUCCACCGACGGCAUGACUUCCAAGGCCUCCGCCUCAGCUCCAUUAAUCUGUCUCACCAAACCCUCCCGAAACCCAAUUUUCGGCGCAUAUUCUUGCCUAUACAAGUCCUUAUAAAAUCUUAUAAUUGCAACCUUUAUCCUAGCCUGAUUUCGUACAAUUCGCCCAUGAAUCCUUAAAGCGUCAAUCCUGUUAUUCCUGCUUCUUGCCGAGGCAAUGUUAUGGAAGUAUCGACUAUUCCUAUCUAUGUUUCUAGCAUGCUGCGACCUAGACAUCUGCUUCCAGUGAACCUCUUUCCGAACAUACCACUUCUCACAAAAGCUCACCAACGCCUUCCUUCUAGCUUCCGUCGUUCCAUCAUAAGUGUCGUCACUUACCUGGCUAUCCACCCUCUUAAUCUCCUCCUCCAGCAACAGUAAUCUCCUAUCCAUGUCUCCAAAGUUGUCCUUGUGCCAUUUUUGCAAAGAUACCGUCAAGGCCUUCAGCUUACAAGUAAACUGAGCAUCCCCCAAGUUUCUUCAUUCAUCUCUAACCAUCCUCAGGAAACCCUCAUGCGUAAACCAGGAAUCCAGGCUUCUAAAUGGGCGGGGGCCCCUACUAACUCUUGAAACUUCCACAAUUAACGGGCAGUGAUCUGACAACCCUCUUGGUCCACCUUUAAUUCGGAUGUCAGGAAAUUAAACCCACAAUAUAGCUCAGCUCCUCCCAAACCACCCGCUUUUCCUCCCUCCCAAAUGCCCCGUACAGCAAACAAAACGCACAAUUAAAAUUACUUUUCGUCAACAUGCCUUCAACACACAGCCAUCUCUCUCCUUUAUAACAAUUGCUAGAUUUAAAUAUCGCAUCGUCCCACAUUAAAAGCAAGCCCCCCGAAGCCCCUCUAGACUCCACAUACUCGCACCCCGCAGUACUAUACCCCCAAAUUCGAGCAACAUCAAAUUUAGAGAUUGCCUCCCUUUUUGUUUCAAUCAAGCCUAACAUAUUAAGUUUGUAAUUUCUCUUCAAAGAUUUCACCAUACUCAAUUUACCAUCCCCCCUCAACCCCCGAAUAUUCCAACAGCUCAAAAUUAUUUAAACAAAUUUUUACUCACCUUACUGUGAUUUUUAGGCCGACUCCUUCGUACUAUUUUGUAUGUUUCGCCAUCUUCUUCCUCACUGCUAAUUUUUCAUUCUGAGCUUGCAAAAUCGCCAUAAUAUCCUCUUCUUCAUCAUGUAGAACCGCACCCGAUUCCACUGCCAAAGUCCAAGUGGCCUCAUUUUCCUUCAUCUGUUCUUCUUUUGUUGGUCUGUCUCCAUCUGUCCCAAUCUCAAUGUCUGUCUCCGAUACCGUCUAUGCAUCUUCCCUCCCCCCGCUCCCAUUAUUGGCUCUUCGAUGUACCCCUGUAUCUACCAUUUUGGCUGGUUCCGAAACACUAUCCUUCCCAUCUACCUGUGCCAUGUCCUUUGAGCAGUUAUCGCACCCAACACGACCAUUUCCAGAGCCCUCCAUACCCACCAAGCCCUGUGUCCUCCCUGCCUCACCAAGGCCGAGCUCCCCUAUCAACCGAGACAGUCCCCGAUCACCCUCUUUGCUAACCCCGCUCACCCUGCCUUCCCUUCCCAGACCAGGCCUCGGUUCUCUACUAUCUUCUCCACAAGGUUCCUGUUCUAGGGGAUCUUCUCUCACCGUAGCCCCUUCACCGAAGCCUAGAAGGUUAAGGCAACCACCCCUACCUUGUACAGUCAUGCCGACGUCCCGCAUGGCUUCCUCACCCAGGUCAUGAGCAGCCCUUGAAACCCCAGCGCUCACCGUGUCCGUUUUGCGUGCGGCAUUCUCAAUCAGUGACCNNNNNNNNNNNNNNNNNNNNNNNNNNNNNNNNGUGGCCCAAUCUCCUUCUCUUUGAAACACGGGCCCUGCGAAUACAAGCCCACUACAUCACCCUCAACGAAACAGCACUUAAUUGGGCUAUGAAAAUGUGAGCCCAACAGAUUAAUGCCACAGGACCUUACACCCUUAUUUAGCCCCCCACCUCGAUCCAUGUCAAAUUCCUGUGUAACAGUUCUUUCUGACCCCACUUCCUCAUUUAAUCCAAAUUUCAUAUAACCCGCCCUUCCAUUAACCUCUGAAUCACUAACAGAAUCAACCCUGAUAUUCCCCAAUUUCAAAAAAGAAGAAUCGGAAUUUAAAUCAUUCAAAAAGUCAUCCUGAAUGACCGUUCUGUCCUUCACUUCAUCGGUGAUCCUUGAACCUAAUUCCAUCAGGUCUGUCGCCGGAUUCCACAGCAUCGCUUCUUUCGACAUGCCACUGCUACAAGAACCAGAAUUUCUGAUCAUAAAAUAGUCUUCUCAUCCUCCCCCCUCAAGUCUUUCACCACUUGUCUCUAUAUCGACCUCUUUCACAAAGACAUGAAACUCCCGAUUACCAACAGUGACGUAAACCCAAUCUCUAAUGACGUCAAAAACAGACGUCUCAACUUGGACUCGCCCAGCCGUAAAGGAAGAGCCUGCUUUGUCGUUGCGUCGCAGCUAAUCACCUCGCCCCAUUGUCCACCUAAAGUUUUAAACAUUUCUGGAGAUCAGGCAUGUAGAGGCACUCCACAGCACUCCAACCAAACUUUUCGAGUCCCACAGCAUAAAGACUCAUCCCACUUCCAGACCCUAUGAACAAAUUGCAACAGGCUAUCCACAAUUUGAACGUAAAAGUCUCAUCUGCAUGCUGCGCCGUAUCAAACGUCAAUAAAACUUUUAGCGCACCUAUCUCGCUAACUUCCACAAUAUGAGGCAAAUUCUUGCAAACUGCUCUUUUCAACAAUUGGAGGUCUAUGGGUUUCAAAGCGCUUCCUAUCAAGCUCCUCGCCAACCAAUCCAAAUUCUGUUCCACUACUGGCACUUCAAUUCUCCUCGUGCUCCCAUGUUUGUCCGAGCCUUGUAUACUCCGCUGUACCCCCCUUCACCGUGAACAAUAUACACUAGUGUCCCACCUUGAAGGUCCGUAUGCUCUCUUUCAUGCUGGACAAUCGGCUUUCCAUGUUUCACUCGUUUCCUCUCUUGCGUUUGCCUUCGAAAUUUAGCUUCCAUUACGGAUACAAUCUUUCCUCGUAAGCUCAAGCGAUCCAUCUCCGCGAUAGCCUUCAAAGCACCCCCUUUUGUCGUGUACCGCACAAACGCAAACAGAUAAACCCUGCCAUGUUUAUGCUUUCGAGAAAGAUAGAUAUCGUUAAUCCUUCCCGUCCAAUUGAACAAGUGAUAUAGUUCCUUCUUCGAAAUAUCUUCUGGGAGAUUAUCCACAAACACAGAGAAAGAUUCAUUUUCCAAGCGAUGGUAUUCCUCUCGAUUCCAAACCCUAGGAUCCUUUGAAUGUGGUUGCCAAACCCUAAACCUACCCCGCUCAGUGUUUCCCCCCUUCUCGUUCUCUCGCUCUCUCAUCCUACCUAUUUUACCCUUAGACUUUAAAAUAAGAAAAGUAUAGGUUACAAACAACAUUGGUGAAUAAUGUGAAUAAUAGAGAUAUCGAAUAUUUAUUUUAUUAGGUGUGCAGAUGGUUAUUCUAAUAUUAAGAUUUAGAUGGAUAAUUUAGAAGUAUAGUGCAUUUUUAUUUUAUUAAUGAUUGUUCAUGUUAUUCAAAAAAAUAAUUAGUUACCUAGCAUAAUCCUUAAAAUAAUGUUUAUUUAACAUUCAUAUUCACCGGUAAUAUAAAAACGAUAGCACACAUUACCAAAGAUAUAAAUACGAUAGCACAUGCCUAUGGAUUGUUGAUGAGAACCAAAUAAGAUGUUGUCAUAUAUAAAAUUUAAUUUUUAAAAUUUUACACCUAGAUGAUGUUAUAGUAAGCGAAUUUUAUAGCGACAAUAAGUCAAUAACCAAAAUUUCAAAAAUUAAUGGGGAUAUUUUCGUUAUUUUGAAAUUAAUUACAAAUAACCAAAUUUUGGACGGUGAGAUUAGUUCAUAUCUCAGUAAAUAUGUCUAUAUAACAAAACCUGUACAUUAAUUAAGAAAAAGUGAUAUUAGGACACUUUCAAGAGACUUACCUUUUCCUUUUUAACAAACAAAUAAUCAGCACAUUUAAAAAAAAUGAAAAAUCAAUACUAUAAGUCAGCAGAAAGAGCAUUCGUUAAUUUAUGAUUAAUCAAAGAAUACAAAAAAACCGCCGUCAAGUGUUCUUGUAAAUCCUUGGUUUCAUUGUACCUCAUGUUCGUUGACUUGUCGAAGAUCUUCGACAACUGGACCUUGAGGAUGGAAGGAUGAAAAGGAGUGGCUCCUAUUAUGACAGGAUUUUGGUGUCCCUUCUUCUAAUCUACCUUUCAUUUGCAAUGGGCUCCCGAUCUGUGUGGAUGUAGGUGAGGGAGUAAGCAUCAGUUCGAUCGCGCUCAUCCUCCCUCUUGGUACUUNNNNNNNNNNNNNNNNNNNNNNNNNNNNNNNNNNNNNNNNNNNNNNNNNUCGAGUGCGUGAAUGGCUUGGAUGAGCUUCUGAGCGUGAGCAAGAGUUCUGACUAUGUGCUUGGGAUAGUAGCAAUUUUUCACCGUCAGUUUUCUCACCAUGUUCUGGACCAUGUGCCUUGGCCCUUGCAUGAUUCGAGAGCUAUCACUACCGGUACCACCAAACAGGCGCUUCUCCAGAGAUCGAGCAUGGGAGUGGCGAGUGGGGGUUUCUAUACGUUCCCUAGAAGUUCCCGAAAUUACUCUGCUCCUAAGGCGGUCCCCUGGAUGUCCGGUAGCACCUUCCCUCCCUCAUACCUCUUCCAGACGAGGGAUAAGCUUCGUGUUCCGCUCGCGUCAGGCCCCACAGACGGCGCCAAUGUUCGUUUGCUCAUUAAGUCUGAUCGUGGAUCGAGGUGGUCGGUUACGAGAAACAGUUGAUGAGGGACAGGACCUGAAUGCGAACGCCAUGGGCAGGAGAGGUCCACGGAUUGUCGGUUGGACAGUGGGUGAGACUACCUGCAAAGACACUCCGAUGCUAAAGUAAGCGUCCGUACGAAAAUGCGGCUAAUUAGGAUAAGAAGGUGACGUACCUCGAGGAGGGAUAGAUCCCUCUCCUUAUAUACCUUGUACUUCGGGUGGGCCCCUUUUGCUCAGGCCCAAACGGCUGGAAGCUUCUGAUAACUGUCCAGGUUGCUCCCAAAAGGUAAUAUUACAUAUGGGUCGCCCUAUCUGAUUCGGGUCGGUGACCCGUCGAGUCGUCAGCCCGUCGAAUAUAAUGGACUUCCAGUCUUUAUUGGAUUGGGCCAGAACAAAAAGCAUACGUUCUUGGCAGGAUGUUGUGUCUACAAAAAUGUAUAGGAUUGAUCCUCAAAACUAGAGAUCAAUCAUCUAGUUUAAAUUUGCGUAAAAUAUAUCACUACAGCACAUGAGGAUCGAUCCUCCAUUUUAACAUAGGAAUUGAUUCUCUCUAAACUUAGAUUUCAGCAAAUUUAAAUUUCAAAUCUUAGCACCUUAUGCAUGAUUGGAUUGGGUCCUACUCCCAUCAUCUAUUAUAAACAAAUUAAAAUAAUCAUAACACGACUCAUACUCAUCUUCAAUUAUAUAUUUUUAAAAUCAGAGUUAAAAUUAUUUUACUUUGAUUAAAAUUUGAUUUUAAUUUAAAAGAUAAACUUAAUUUACUUUUGACAAGUGAAAAACUAAAGUCCUGCACCUAAAUUUUAUUUGUUGGACUUCUCCUUGUUAUUAAUAUUUGUUGCAUCCAUAAUUGAUUUCUUGAUAAAUUUGUUUGAAUUUGAUGCAAGAAAAUAAAAAUAUAUUUUUUAAUCCGUUGUAAAACGGUUUUUACAUCGAAUUUUUGAUAAAAAGUUUUUUCUUUCAAAGUUACUCAUCAAAUUUGAUGUCAUAUCAUAUAAUAUAUGUCAUGCAAUUACGAUAUUAAGUUAAAGUCAAACAAAAGAUUAAGUUCGUUGUUUUUUAAAAUACUAAUUAUCUUACGUAUGAAAAUUACAUAUUGUCAGUCAUCAAAACACAUAAAUAUACAUAUGGUGCAAGAUUAAAAAAUGCAUUCUAUUAAGAUAUCAUAUCUAACAUAUGUGAAUCUUUAGCUUUGGUAUUUUUCCUAUUUUUUUUUUCUUGAUUUAGGAUGUCAUUAAAUUUUCCUAUGUAGCAAAUGGGCUCGUUUCAGUAUCAUAACUAUUUGCCAGCUGCUACCACAACUUUAUUCUUUCUUUAACAUUUGGAUUUUCUUACACAAAAAUGCAUCUUUAUUUAUUGCUAGUUCUCUCUUUGAUGCUGGGAAUAAUAAAAUAUGGUUCAAAGAAUAAAGAAAAAUAUCAAUGCAUUUUUUAUGCAUUAAACAUAACUCUUUGAAUAGACUCCGAAAUUUUACAUAAAAAAAGUUAUCAAAUUGUCAUUUUUCUUUUUGCAAAUCUUCUCAUGUUUUUCUCCUUAGCUCGAAUUUUAAUUAAGUAUAUAAUAAACUGAUUGUAUUGUUUGUUCAGUUCUUUUAUCUCGAAAAUUUAUUGUAAUAACAUCUUUAAAAUUAUUAAUCAAAAUAUGUAAGGCAAAAAAUUAAAAUAAAUUUAACUCCAGAGUGCUGCGCGGUGGUGUCAAAGGCGGACUUGAAAUGCCUUUGCGGAUUAAAGAAUAGUCCCUUGGUGCCAACUCUGGGGAUCGAUCUAAACCUCGCCUUUCAGCUUCCUGCAAAGUGUAACCUUUCUCUUCCUCCUCAAUGUUAAUGUAAACACAAACUACUCAAUAAUCAAUACUACAGUAAUAACAAUAGAUUACAGCUUUCGCUAACUCCUUUCUCACCCUCAACUCCCCCUCCCUUUUCUCUUCUCCUUUUUCUUUCUUUUCUUUUAUUCUAUAGUCAUAAUUCCAAUUCAAAAAUACUAUUCACACACAUAAAUCAGUCAUUAAAAUCGACUACCAAUAAAUUUGUUUAUAAAUACAUAUAUAAUUUAAUUUAUUUUUAACGUGUAUUUAUAUUUUAACAUAUAUUUUAUACGAAUGUGACUAACUUUAUUGGCUGAUUUUGGUGUACACAUAACAUAAUUAAUUCUAAUUUUAAUUUGACUUUAAUAAAGACGUUUACGUUCGAAUUGGUUUUUAUUUGGAGAAAAAUCAUAAUCAGACUGAUUAACGGUUCAUAUUAGUUCAAAUUUAAGUUUUUUUGUGACUAAACUCGAACUAAUUAAAUUAAUUGACAUUGAUUAAAUCUGAGUUGGAUCAAUUUAGAUGAUUGAAUAUUCAAUAAAAAUAAAAUUAAAAAAAUUGACUUUUUUAAAUCUUUCAAUAACAACAACAAUAACAAUAACAACAACAAUAAUAAUACAAUGCACAUCGAUUCAAACUUAAAUAAAUAUCAUAAUUUAAAAAUAUUAUAGAGUUAAUAGAUAAAAUUGUAUAUAUAUUAUUAGAUUUUAUUUAUUAUUUUUAAUUAAUAUUAGACUAAUCCAGUUAUUUCGAGUUCUACAACUCCAAAACUAAUAACUUAACUAAUUAAAGUUGAAUUUAAUCGGGUCAGACCUAAUUGUAUUCAAUUAUUCGUCGGAUCUAAAACUAAUGUAAUCGAUUUUGGUUGGAGAAUUGGGUUAUCUUUAUCCAAUGACAAAUCCAAAAAAUUUUAGAAGUGGCAACAAAAUAAAUAAUAAUAUAGCAAAAGAAUAAAAAUUAUUACUAUCAAUAUAUUUAGAUAUUUAAAUCUUAGAAUAUAUUAAUUAGUCAAGUUNNNNNNNNNNNNNNNNNNNNNNNNNNNNNNNNNNNNNNNNNNNNNNNNNNNNNNNNNNNNNNNNNNNNNNNNNNNNNNNNNNNNNNNNNNNNNNNNNNNNNNNNNNNNNNNNNNNNNNNNNAUACAUUUAUUAUUAAUACUAGCACUUAGUCAAGCAUCUAAUAUCCGUCAAAUUAUAUUUUUUAUUAUUUUUAUAUGAUAUAAAAAAAAUUAUAACUCAUUAGCUAAAAAAGUUUUAAGGAGUGUGUAAUAACUCGAAAAAAUAAAAUAAAAUAAAACAGAGAAAGAUAUGCAAAUAAAUAAAAUUGUGGGCCACACUUUUUUUCUUUUUUUUUAACCCUAAUCACACACAAACACACUGUCUCAACCUUCAAUCCCUCACUAGCCGUCACUCAUAACCAAAGAAAGAAUGGAACGAGAAGAUAGGGAGGAAUGAGAAAAGAACAUGGGAAUUGAAGAAGAGGAAAGAAAGGAAGAAAAAAGAGAAAAAGAUGGCGCCGGUGAAGGAGAAAUUGCUGAGCUACCGUAGCUGAGAAGAGGAGACAAUAAGAGAUAAAGAGGGAGGGUUUGAGCUCGAUGGUGAAGAAGGGAAGUGCCGUUGUGUCAUCGGAGCACGUCGUUGUUGGCGCUCUGUUGUUGGAACCGCCGCCAGAAGCCCUAGCCUUGUCAUCCUCUAAUCUGAUCGCUGCAGCUGCCGAGAAAGGUGGUGAUUGCUGCACCUCUAUUGUCAUUGUCGUGUAUUGUUGCUGCUGCUUGUCUUGCGUCGUUGUAUUUGUUCUACUUUGCUUCGUGCCUUAUUUGGGACUAUUCUCCCACGUUGAAACUACCACCUUCAACCCUUCAAAAUUACUUGGAUUCCAACUUUUAAUCUCUAUACUGAUGGCAUUCUGGUGUUGGUCUUCGAUCCUUUAGGACUAAUUUGUGAGUAAACUAUACAUUUAUAACCGUACCGUUAACCUUGUUUAUGUUUAUUCUGAGUUUUUAAUUAUAUCUAUAAAAUUAUUGUUGAAGAACUUUGAUUUGGUUAGAAUAAUUAUUUUAUUAUAGUUGAAUAAUUAUUUUUAUGAAGCUCAUAUUUUAGAAACUUUACAUGAGACUAUAUAUAUAUUUGAUGAAGUUUAGAUGUAUGUAACUCAGACCCUAGCUAGCAGGGGUAUUGCUAGCCUAACAUAUAGGCCACGCGUUAGAUCUGUUAUUCUUUUAGGACACACAAAAGAAAAGGGCUACUCAUAUAGGUGGAGCCGCCUAAGUGUGGACUUUUAAUUUGGUUUCUGUAUGAAAACUCCCUUAUUGAUUCACUUAUUCAUUUAAAUUUGUUCUAAAUAAAAUUAUUUUAUGAUAAUAUUUAUUGAUUUCAUGUGAAUUAUAGAUGUACUGUCUAGCCACUGAAUUACAAAACUCACUCUAUUUUUUUUUUAAAAAUAUUUUUCAGGAAUAAAUACUUGAUUAUGUGAGUCAUUCUAUUCAAGAUUAAUAAUCUACAAUAGGUACCUAUUCCUUGUUGAGUUCUUAAACGUUAUCUGCUUUAUAUGUCACAGGCAAGAUCUACCCAUAUUUAUUUAUUUUAUCCUUUGUUAAAAUAUGCAAUUAUGCAUUCUAAAACUUGUAAAUUUAUUUUUAAAAAACUAUUUGUAAUCUUAUUUAUCUCAUAUUCGAAUUUGUUAGGAUUGUCAAGAGACUAUUUCCCUAAGUGUCCAUCAUGACUUAUUUUAAAUCGUGACAGAGUAUAACUCGAAUGAACUCAUUUAAAAUUUUUACUAUUUUUUUUUUGUCUAAAUUUUCACUAAAGUUAUGUGAGAGAGACAAAAAAUUUAUGAAAAAAAUAAAAGUUUAAAUCAAACANNNNNNNNNNNNNNNNNNNNNNNNNNNNNNNNNNNNNNNNNNNNNNNNNNNNNNNNNNNNNNNNNNNNNNNNNNNNNNNNNNNNNNNNNNNNNNNNNNNNNNNNNNNNNNNNNNNNNNNNNNNNNNNAAAAUUAUCCGAUAAAUCUAACAACAUAUGUGAUAAGAAUUAAAUAUGGUUCUUUUUGUUAUAAGUUGAUUUGGACAAUAUUUAAUUUAGAAUUAAUAAUGUUAAUACGAGAUUAUGAAGAAGAAUUGUGAUUAAUUAUUAUAGUAUGAUGAAACUAUAUGCACCAUAUAAUGAAAGUGAGAGUACUAGAUCAAUGACUUUAAUAUACUAAUUAAUUAAUUAAUUAAUUAAUUAAUACCCUUNNNNNNNNNNNNNNNNNNNNNNNNNNNNNNNNNNNNNNNNNNNNNNNNNNNNNNNNNNNNNNNNNNNNNNNNNNNNNNNNNNNNNNNNNNNNNNNNNNNNNNNNNNNNNNNNNNNNNNUCAUUAACUACUUUAAAUUUAAGUAAUAUGUUUAUGCAUAUUACUUAAAUUUAAAUAAUCAUUCUAACCCAAAAAAUAAUAAUUUUUGAAAAUUCAAUUACUCACUGCAUCUUUAUUACAAUAUUAUUUACUAGCAAACUAGAUAAUAACAAAUUAAAUAAUGAUUAAUUAAAUAUUUUCCUUCACAUUAACAACUAAUCUACACAUAAAUUAGUAAAUUACAUUAGCAUAACUAACUAUAUCAUAAUUGAAUUUAUGUAAUAAAUUAACAAUUAACCAAAUAAAUUAUGAAAAAUUCCAUUAACGAAUUACCUCAUUAAUAUUUAUUAAAUGAAUUAAUAACUAAAUUAAUAUUAUCAUGUAAAAUAAAUAUUAUGAUAAAAAUUAAAUUUUCAAAAUUUAAACCAAACUCUCAAUCUUCAACCUUAAACCCCUUAUCAUUAAAUCCUAAAAUUCUAAACCCUCUAAUCUUAAAAUCAAAAUUUUAAACCAUCCAACUCUAAACAAAAAACUACAAAUCUUAAUUUCUUAAUCAUAAAUUUUAAACCAUCCAAUUCUAAACUCUAACUAAUCUAAUUUUAAACUCUAAAUCCUAAAGUAUCCUACACUAAAUCCAAAACCAAACAACACUAAACUCUAAAUACUAAAUUAUUUUAUUCAUGAGUUUAAAAUAAAUAAAAUAAAAAAAAGGUUUAAAAGACUUAUAUAAUCUAGUUUUAAUAUGUUAGUCUUUAUUUAAAUAUUAGGAAUACUAAAAUAAAAAAAUUGAAACCCAAGUGGCAAGAAAAAUGAGCUAAAUAAAAAACAUCAAUGCAUUCCUUACGCAUUAAACAUAGCCCUCAUAGUAGACUCCGAAAUUUUACACAAAAGAAGUUAUCAAACUGCCAUUUAUCUUUUUACAAAAUAAAUAUGUUAUAAAUAUGACAUGUAAAAAUGAUAACACUUUAAAAAAUAUGAAUCAAAAUACGUAAGAUGAAAAAAUUAAUACAAAUUUAGACAAAAUCAAUUCAUUCAUUUUAGUUGCAUCAAAUAAUAAUUAAUAUUAUUGAUUAGUUAUAGUUAAUAUGAUCAAACAAAAUAUUAAUAAUUUGAUAUUUAUCUCAAUCAAAUUAAAUAAAUAAUUAAUUAUAUAACAUCUUUAAAAUUAUUAGUCAAAAUAUGUAAGAUGAAAAAUUAAAACAAAUUAAAACAAAAUCAAUUUAUUUAUUUCAAUCGAAUAAGAUAAUUAAUGUAAUUAAUUAAUUAUAAUUGAUAUAGUAAAAUAAAUAUUGAAUAAUUUAAUAUUUAUCUCAGUUGAAUUAAAUAAUUAAUUAAUACAUUUAAAUGAAUUAAAUAAAAUAAAUAAAAGAUACCUUCCAUAAGAGAUAUUCACCAAGUUUAGAGAUACACAAUAAUGAAAUAUGUGAAAAGCAAUCUAAAAAACAAGGGUGAUUUUAGGUGAUGCAUUGAAUUAUGCGGCUAUAUAAGUGCAAAGCAGGAAGCAGUGUUUGACAUACAGACUUAAAAGUGAGAGAAGAAGAAGAACUGAAAAAGAUGGGUUCAAAAUCAUCAUGGUCAAUGGUGGCACUAGCAAUAAUGGCAUUAAGUGUGGUUGCAAUGCUUGAUGGUUGCAUGGCGCAAUCGUUCUGCAACACGUCACUUCCAGAGUUGUUCAAGUGCAAGCCGGCCGUGACGCCGCCAAAUCCUCAGCCGCCGACGCAAGAGUGCUGCGCGGUGGUGGCAAAGGCGGACUUGAAAUGCCUUUGCGGAUUAAAGAAUAGCCCCUUGGUGCCAACUCUGGGGAUCGAUCUAAAUCUCGCCUUUCAGCUCCCUGCAAAAUGUAACCUGUCUCUCCCUCCUCAAUGUUAAUGCUAUCUGUAAACACAAACUACUCAAUAAUCAAUACUACAGUAAUAACAAUAGAUUACAGCUUUCGCUAACUCCUUUCUCACCCUCAACUCCCCCUCCCUUUUCUCUUCUCCUUUUUCUUUCUUCCGUGACGCCGCCAAAUCCUGCGCCGCCGACUCCAGAGUGCUGCGCGGUGGUGUCAAAGGCGGACUUGAAAUGCCUUUGCGGAUUAAAGAAUAGUCCCUUGGUGCCAACUCUGGGGAUCGAUCUAAAUCUCGCCUUUCAGCUUCCUGCAAAGUGUAACCUUUCUCUCCCUCCGCAAUGUUAAUGUAGACACAAACUACUCAAUAAUCAAUACUACAGUAAUAACAAUGGAUUAUUGCUUUUGUUAACUCUCUUCUCACCCUCAACUCCCCUCUCCCUUUUUCUCUUCUCCUUUUUCUUUCUUUUCUUUUAUUCUAUAUUGUCAUAAUUCUAAUUCAAAAAUACUAUUCACACACAUAAAUCAACCACUAAAAUUAAUCAAUAAUAAAUUUGUAUAUAAAUACGUGUAUAAUUAUUUUUAAUAUAUAUUUAUAUUUUAAGUAUUUUUAACAUGUAUUUUAUAUAGGUGUGAUUGACUUUAGUGACUGAUUUUAGUGUACAGAUAAUAUAAUCAAUUCUAAUUUUAAUUUGGCUUUAAUAAAAACGUUUACGGUUUGAAUUGGUUUUUGUUUGGAGAAAAAUCAUAAUCAAAUCGAUUAAUGGUUCAUUUUAGUGCGAAUUUAAAAUUUUUUGUGACUGAAUUUGAACUAAUUAAAUUAAUCCACAUCGAUUAAAUCUGAGUUAGAUCAGUUCGGAUGAUUGAAUAUUUAAUAAAAAUAAAAUUAAAAAAAAUUGGUUUUGUUUCUAAAAAUCCAAAAUCCNNNNNNNNNNNNNNNNNNNNNNNNNNNNNNNNNNNNNNNNNNNNNNNNNNNNNNNNNNNNNNNNNNNNNNNNNNNNNNNNNNNNNNNNNNNNNNNNNNNNNNNNNNNNNNNNNNNNNNNNNNNNNNNNNNNNNNNNNNNNNNNNNNNNNNNNNNNNNNNNNNNNNNNNNNNNNNNNNNNNNNNNNNNNNNNNNNNNNNNNNNNNNNNNNNNNNNNNNNNNNNNNNNNNNNNNNNNNNNNNNNNNNNNNNNNNNNNNNNNNNNNNNNNNNNNNNNNNNNNNNNNNNNNNNNNNNNNNNNNNNNNNNNNNNNNNNNNNNNNNNNNNNNNNNNNNNNNNNNNNNNNNNNNNNNNNNNNNNNNNNNNNNNNNNNNNNNNNNNNNNNNNNNNNNNNNNNNNNNNNNNNNNNNNNNNNNNNNNNNNNNNNNNNNNNNNNNNNNNNNNNNNNNNNNNNNNNNNNNNNNNNNNNNNNNNNNNNNNNNNNNNNNNNNNNNNNNNNNNNNNNNNNNNNNNNNNNNNNNNNNNNNNNNNNNNNNNNNNNNNNNNNNNNNNNNNNNNNNNNNNNNNNNNNNNNNNNNNNNNNNNNNNNNNNNNNNNNNNNNNNNNNNNNNNNNNNNNNNNNNNNNNNNNNNNNNNNNNNNNNNNNNNNNNNNNNNNNNNNNNNNNNNNNNNNNNNNNNNNNNNNNNNNNGAUUCAAACUUAAAUAAAUAUCAUAAUUUAAAAAUAUUAUAGAGUUAAUAGAUAAAAUUGUAUAUAUAUUAUUAGAUUUUAUUUAUUAUUUUUAAUUAAUAUUAGACUAAUCCAGUUAUUUCGAGUUCUACAACUCCAAAACUAAUAACUUAACUAAUUAAAGUUGAAUUUAAUCGGGUCAGACCUAAUUGUAUUCAAUUAUUCGUCGGAUCUAAAACUAAUGUAAUCGAUUUUGGUUGGAGAAUUGGGUUAUCUUUAUCCAAUGACAAAUCCAAAAAAUUUUAGAAGUGGCAACAAAAUAAAUAAUAAUAUAGCAAAAGAAUAAAAAUUAUUACUAUCAAUAUAUUUAGAUAUUUAAAUCUUAGAAUAUAUUAAUUAGUCAAGUUUCUAAUAAAUAAAUGUAAUUAAUAUAUCUAAAAGUAUAUUAAUUUAAAAAUAUUUUUUGUUUUAAUAUUUUGGUAAUAUUACAUGAGUAAUACAUAUAUUAUUAAUACAGCACUUAGUCAAAUAUCUAAUAUCCAUCAAAUUAUAUUUUUUAUUAUUUUUUAUGUGAAAUAAAAAGGAAUUAUAAUUCAAUAGCUAAAAAAUUUACAAAGAGUAUAACUCGAAUGAACACAUUAGAGUUUUCACUAUUUUUUUUUAUCUAAAUUUUUACUAAAGUUACGUGAGAGAGACAAAAAACUUAUGAGAAAAAUAAAAGUUUAAAUCAAAUAACCACAAUUCUUUUUAUACGUAGGUAUAGAUAAAAUAAUAUUUUUAUUAUUAAACAAAUAUUCAAAUAAUUUUUUAUAUUUAUUUACAAAAUUAACAUUUUAUAAUAUUAUGGUAAAAAAAAUUUUCUUAGAGUUAAGAAGUUAAUUGUUAUGUUUAAUUUUAAGAAUUUAUGGUUAUAUGUUUAAAUAAUGGUUAGCAACAUGUGUGUUUAAAAAUAAGUAAUUGCUGUUUAGACGUUUUUUCAAUAUAAUAGAUUAGUAUUAAGAAUGGCUUGUUUAUAAUUUUUUAUAAUAGUUUUAGAUUUAAUAAUUAAUUAGUUAACUGUUAUAAUUAAUUAUAAAAAUUAUAAUUUUAAGAUACUUUCGGUGUAUAUUUUUCUGGAACAAUGUUGAUAAUUUCAAAUAAUAAAUUAGGAUCUGUAAAGUAUAAUUUAUUUGCGGUUUUGGUAGUAAUAAGUUGUUUUCUGUUAGCCUUUUAAUGUAUAGAAGUAUGUUAUUUUAGUUGAGGUUUUAUUAUUAUUACAUUAGAACAUUAUUAAUUACAUAGAAAGUGAAACUAUGUAUUAGUUAUUAUCUGCAGCAACUUAGAUAUAGGCUCUAUAUACAUUAAUUAAAAUUAGAGAUAAAAAUGUUAUUACUUAGUAAAUCGGAUUCAAUAUAAUUAUAUUUUUUAAUUAGCUUUUUAAAAUUAUGUAUGAUAGUUGUGUAAUUUGAAUCGUGCUUUUGCUAUGCUUUUGUAGGCUUUACGGAUGAUGACAUGUGAUCACCCUAUCCCUCCGGAUCGGUAAGAUGAGAGAGUGGAAGAGCAUUUACGAUCAACUGGGUUUUACCAUGUUAGUCAGAUUGGAGUAGUUCAAUGUCAGAAAGCACUAGUAAAUGCUUUAGUGGAAAGGUGGCACUCGGACACACAUACCUUCCACCUUCCAGUUGGUGAAUGUGUCGUGUCACUGGAAGACGUGGCUAUGAUCUUUGGUCUUCCGACCAAAGGCCUUCCAGUGACUGGCAUGACUUUGAGUUGUUUUGAGGCCUUAGAGGCGGAGUGUCUGCAUCAAUUUGAGGUGGUGCCGAGAAAGUCAGAUUGUCGAGGAAGUGGCAUAAAACUGACGUGGCUACGGGAUUUAAAAGAACGGUCACAAUUGACUGAUGAGAACAGUAUACAGGUGUACAUUAAGUGCCACAUCAUGUUGUUGAUCGGUAUGAUCUUGUUUGGAGACAAGUCUAGGGCAUCUGUCCACUGGAAGUUUCUGCAUCUGCUGAGUGAUUUUGCUAGUAUUGGAUAGUAUAGCUGGGAUCAGCCUGCCUAGCACACCUGUACAGGAGUUUAUGCAGGGCCUCACGUUUUGAUUGUAAGGAAAUCGAUGGUCCGCUGACACUUCUACUGUGUUGGGCAUGGAUGCACCUACCAUAUCUAGCACCGGUUCCUAGAGAACCUCGCAGUUUUCCGCUUGCAAAUAGGUUAGACUAUCUUACAUUUACCUGGUAUCUUCAUGUUUAGAAACCAAUUGUGUUAAUGAGAUGCGUUAUAUUAGCUGACGAAACUGGGAGCGUGGAGACCGAGUCUAUAGAUAUCUUAAGCUUGCUCAUUUUAGGAAGACCUUGGAUGAACUUCAGGAAGGUCAGGUGUGUUUGAAUUGACAUUGUAUGUGGGUCAGGUCUAGUGAUUUACUUAUUUGGAUUUUAAUUAUUUGCUUGCUUUACUGUUACCAGUUUUUGUGGGUUGCAUAUUCUGGUGAUCGUGUUGAUCCGGACAUAAUUCCUGCUAAGAUCUACAUGCACUCAUUGAUUUGGAGUGCAACGGUGCCACUGGUAUCUUUUGAGUGUAUUGAAUGGCAUGCUACCGACAGGUUUAGACGUCAAUUUGGUUUCGUUCAGGGAGUUCCUCAUCAGGAACGGAAUCUAGACCGCGCACACGGAGAAGUGUUAAUUGGUCCUAAGAAUCUGAACUGGGCCACAGCCACGACUCAUUCAUUUUGGGUGAUGCAGUUGACAAACUGGUAUAAUCACGUUCUUACUGAGGAACCCAUGACUCCGCAUCAGCCAUUAGAUACUUAUAUGUACUGGUACCGUUCAAAGUAUGGUGAUAACUUGAACUUGUCGGAUCUUGCGGUCCAAGAGGAUGUUGAAGGUGACCAGGUUAUGGAUGAUGAUAAUGAAGAGCAGGAGCCACAGUCACCACCGCCUCCAACUCCACCUCCACCUCCCCCUCCAGUGGCAGAAGAACAACCUCAUUCCACAAGCCAGUAUGUACUUCAGACACAAUUUCCUACGUCGUUCCCGAUACAUCAGCCACAUUUUGACUCAGGAGAGGGAGGUUCUUUUAGCCAGUUGCUUGGGUUCAUGGCCUCAGAUGCCGGCCAAGCACAAUAUAGCCACCAGGCCGACUUCAUGGCGGGUAGGUAUUCGUUUAACUAAAUGAAUACUGGACCCUAAAUACUAAUUAACUCAAAGUCUUUUUUAUUUUGAACUUGUCUAAAUAACCUCUUUUACAAAUACUAAACGAGUACCUGCACUCAUAUAGUUCGGAAACUCCGGAGCAUGCAUGGCUUCCAAAUCCAAAACUCGCAUGAAAGAUGGCUCCUCAAAUGGCUCUUCGUUCGCGAGUGCAUUUACAAUGUCUGUCACAUUCGGAGCCACACUGCCGUCGGUUGGAUCUACAUCUCCGUCUUCACCAACAACUUCGUAAUUGCUUUCGAACUCUUCCUCACUGUCACUAUUGUAGUCUUCUCGUAAAAUAUUUCGGUCGGCCUCAGAUUGUUCGAAUUCAAUGUACAACUCGAUGAACAAGAUUCGGGCACGACUUUCAAAAUACAUUGAAAACAUCUCUUGCAAACUCGCUUCGUCCGUUACAUAUUUGGUUUCAAAUUGGACGAAUCCACCAAACACCGGUAUCGGAUAUCUGUAUAAAAUGCAAGAUAUUUUUCUCGACAUCUCAGAAUCAAUCUUCUCACAGAUCACACCUUUGAACUCUUCAAAUGAGAUUGUGAAGGGAAUAACAACAUGACAUCUACAUGCACUCGAUGAUUUGGAGUGCAACGGUUCCACUGGUAUCUUUUGAGUGUAUUGAAUGGCAUGCUACCGACAGGUUUAGACGUCAAUUUGGUUUCGUUCAGGGAGUUCCUCAUCAGGAACGGAAUCUAGACCGCGCACACGGAGAAGUGUUAAUUGGUCCUAAGAAUCUGAACUGGGCCACAGCCACGACUCAUUCAUUUUGGGUGAUGCAGUUGACAAACUGGUAUAAUCACGUUCUUACUGAGGAACCCAUGACUCCGCAUCAGCCAUUAGAUACUUAUAUGUACUGGUACCGUUCAAAGUAUGGUGAUAACUUGAACUUGUCGGAUCUUGCGGUCCAAGAGGAUGUUGAAGGUGACCAGGUUAUGGAUGAUGAUAAUGAAGAGCAGGAGCCACAGUCACCACCGCCUCCAACUCCACCUCCACCUCCCCCUCCAGUGGCAGAAGAACAACCUCAUUCCACAAGCCAGUAUGUACUUCAGACACAAUUUCCUACGUCGUUCCCGAUACAUCAGCCACAUUUUGACUCAGGAGAGGGAGGUUCUUUUAGCCAGUUGCUUGGGUUCAUGGCCUCAGAUGCCGGCCAAGCACAAUAUAGCCACCAGGCCGACUUCAUGGCGGGUAGGUAUUCGUUUAACUAAAUGAAUACUGGACCCUAAAUACUAAUUAACUCAAAGUCUUUUUUAUUUUGAACUUGUCUAAAUAACCUCUUUUACAAAUACUAAACGAGUACCUGCACUCAUAUAGUUCGGAAACUCCGGAGCAUGCAUGGCUUCCAAAUCCAAAACUCGCAUGAAAGAUGGCUCCUCAAAUGGCUCUUCGUUCGCGAGUGCAUUUACAAUGUCUGUCACAUUCGGAGCCACACUGCCGUCGGUUGGAUCUACAUCUCCGUCUUCACCAACAACUUCGUAAUUGCUUUCGAACUCUUCCUCACUGUCACUAUUGUAGUCUUCUCGUAAAAUAUUUCGGUCGGCCUCAGAUUGUUCGAAUUCAAUGUACAACUCGAUGAAUGAAAUUUGAGCACGACUUUCAAUAUAUAUUGAAAACAUCUCUUGCAUGCUUGCUUCGUCCGUUACAUAUUUGGUCUGAAAUUGGACGAAUCCACCAAAUACUGGUACAGGAUAUCUGUAUAAAAUACAUGAUAUUUUUCUUGACAUCUCCGAAUCUAUCUUCUCACAAAUCACGCAUUUAAGCUCUUCAAAUGAAAUUGUGAAGAGAAUAACAACAUCUAAUGGAUCUUCACAAAAAAAUUUUACUCCUUCAGGUGUCUGCAACAAAAUCUGACCAAAAUAAUACACUUUCAAAAGAACUCUAUUAUCCAUUCUUCCCACUCACUUAAACAAAAAUAGCAACUUCACCAUCAAUUUUUUUUCCCCAACCCAAGUAACCCCACACUAGACCCAUAGAAAGAAGAAGAGAACUCGAACAAAAAGAAAGUUGGAUCUGUUCGGCUGUCUUUGGUUCGCACACCUUAGCAACUAUAUAUAUACACACACAAUUCGAACCAACCGAGUUGUGUAUAACCUAAUUCGAAAAAAUUAUAAAUAAUGAAAACUCACGGUCCGAUUUCCUUUACUGUAAAUUAAAAAAAAAAUUGCAAGCAAAAAUCAGACCCAGCGAGUAGUAUAACGAAAUAAAAAACAAAUCCAACAAAGAAAACGGACCAUCCGUUUUGAUGAGGUCAUAUUGCACGGUCCGAUUUCUCCUAUGUGUUACGAUCAAAACGGACCUUCCAAUUUGCUUACAAAAUUUCCAAAACAGAGAACUCGGAGGGUCCGAUUUCUUCCUACCAAAUCUGAGCCAAAACCUAUUCCACAUUCCGGUGUAGCACCCCCUCAUUCCAUAUCCCAGCACAACACCUGACCCUCCUCCAUAACAAAAAAAAAUGACCCUUAUUACAAUAGGAACAAUUAUCUACAUAUACAUAUAUACUUGUGAUUGGUUUUUGAAAAACUCAAUUACCCCCACAUAAGUAUAUAUAAAUCCGUCCGUCUGUAUCUGUAAAUACCCCUAGACUUUUUUUUUGUUUUUUUUUACCAAAGAUAUGAGACUCAAACUCCCCUAGACUUUUUUUUUGUUUUUUUUUACCAAAGAUAUGAGACUCAAACUCGCAACCUCUUAAUUGAGUAUGGAAAAACUAUGCUAUAGAUGAUGUUUAUUUAACAUUCAUAUUCACCGGUAAUAUGAAAAAGAUAGCACACAUUACCAAAGAUAUAGAUACAAUAGCACAGGCCCACGGAUUGUUGAUGAGAAACAAAUAAGAUGUUGUCAUAUAUAUAAUUUAAUUUUUAAAAUUUUACACCUAGAUGAUGUUAUAGUAAGCGAAUUUUAUAGUGACAAUAAGUCAAUAACCAAAAUUUCAAAAAUUGAUGGGGAUAUUUUGAAAUUAAUUACAAACAACCAAAUUUUGGACGGUGAGAUUAGUUCAUGUCUCUGUAAAUAUUUCUAUAUAACAAAACCUGUACAUUAAUUAAGAAAAAGUGAUAUAGGGACACUUCAAAAGACUUACCUUUUCCUUUUUCUAAAAACAAAUAAUCAGCACAUUUAAAAAAAAAGGAAUGAAAACAACAAUACUAUAAGUCAGCAAAAAGAGCAUUCGUUAAUUUCUGAUUAAUCAAAGAAUACAAAAAUACAACAAAAAAAGGUUAUGGAAACCCAAAAAAGAGUUGCCUGUACACUUUCCAAACCAUCGUACAUAUAAUGCAUUGUUCCCAAUCUAAUCCCACUGAGUUCAGUGCCAUUUCCCAUGCAAUGAUCUGUUAAAAAAUCAAUAUUCUCAAUUAAAAAAUUUUGGUCAAAUAUAAAAUUUUAUUAGUGAUUGAUGAGAUAAGUUUUAAAUAUAAAUCCCACAAAAAUGCACACUAUCUAAUUCAUCAAAUUAUACUUAAGGUAACAAAAAAAAACUGAAUUAAGAGCAUUUACCCAAUUAGACAGUGAUUGAUUUAAUGUGGUCGGUCAUUUACACUUCUGGAGGCACUUUGGAGGGAGGCAAGUUUGGUUUGUAAUCCCAAAGACUCCUCAUUUCUCCUCUUAUACAUCCCAAUAUGACAGCCGUACCUGUUCAAUUUAUUUAUUUGAUGUUGAAUAAAGAGCAUGAGUUAAAUUUAAAGAUUAAUGAAGUGAACCACGCACCAAUCUAAUCUAAUCUAAGUAGUAAUCACUACUACUACUACUACUAAUUUACUUACCCAAGGUACAUGGAACAAGGUAGAGAAGUGCUGGUUGUCCAUGACCCUUCAUCAAGUAUAGCCCAAGAUAUGUUAGAAAAAGGCCUGAAAAAGGGAUCAUCAGAUUGUAAGAGAAUAAAUUAAUAAAACUAUCCAUUUUACAGUCUACAAACACUAUUGAAAUUAUCAUCUUUUAUCAAUAAAUAAACAGUGCAGCUUAUGAUAUGAUAUGAUACUGAAAACUAUGAUACCAACUAAAAAUAGUAUUAAAAAGUACUUACCGACGCCAUAGCCAAUUACCAACCAAAGAAAAUAUCCAUUCACUGACCUCUUGUUGUUCUCUUUGUCAAAUCUGAUACAAUCAGAAGCCAUAAUAAACACAUUAAAUCUAAUCCAAUAUGCAUCUAAUUCUAUGCUAUUAAGAGAUAAAUGCAUGUUUUCAAUUUUGUAAACCACCGCUUCGUUUCAAGUUGUCAACAAAAUAAGGAACUCAGUACCUACGAGCAAAGCAAACAAGCAAGCCAGGGAAGAGAAUGUCUCCAAAUCCAAUCAUGUCAUAACCUUUCCAAGGAUCGUGUGGACGAGGAAACCUCAAAAGCAUAGGAAUUGCUUCCCCACCAGCCUUGUCACCUCGAGCAACCUAGAUCACAUUAUCAAGUGCAUUUAUAGAAAUAUAGAAGCUCGUCUCAGCAACUGGAAUGAGUAUGCAUAUAAUGAGUUUUGUUAACGAGUAUUUUUAAGGACACUAAUUAAAGAUACAAGAAGUUAAAAAGAAAACAAAAGUAAAAUGUUUUCAAAUAAAAGGUGAGAAAUAACUCUUGGUCUUGUAACUUUACCUGGUCAGCGAUUUAAAUGUCAAAACAGUUUUUUUAAAGAAUUACGCUUCAUGAUUUAGCAUUAACUAUAUAUGUAAAUUGUAAAAUUCAACAUAAUAAUGCUCGGUGGUGCAAGUUUCACCUUGCCCGAAUUGCUCCAACAUGAAAACAAGGAAGCGGUUUUUGCUGUUCCUUUCAUGUCACCCUUGAUUUUUGCAGAUCUCAAAAUUCUGCUUGGUUAGAGUAAAUUCUGUACUCUAUUCAUGCUUUUUUUGUGUGCCUUGUUUAGCAUUACUCAACAUCCAAUUAACAAGUUUUUUUUUUUUUUUCACUAUCACAAUUAAGUACAUCUCUAACUUGUUGCAAAAGAAAGGAACAAAAUGAGUUAAGGAAUAUGAUUUGAGAUGCAAAUGCAAUGAAACAAUCCCAUAGAGGGUUAAAAAGGAAACUUUACUGAUAAAACGAUGACUUACUGUAAUCAUAACACUCUUAUGGAAUAUCACUGGAGAUAUGAACACCCAAAAGAUGUCGUAUACAAAUGCACAACAAAGAAGUACAGUUGCAACCUAUCAUUUCAGAUGCAUAAUGCAAAUCAUGAGAACGGAUAUAAAAAGGACUGUGAAUAAAAGGAGUAAGGAAACACAAGCAAUCAAUAUAGCUACCUUAAUAUUAGGUAAUCGUGCCAACUGCAAGAUUGUUAUCAUCAAACAAAUGCCCUGUCAAGAAUAAAGCCAAACUUUUUAAGUAAAUACCACAAAGUGAAAAGUCAAUUGAACUACUUUGUACCAUUGAUUGGAAACAACCAUUCCAUUUUUCAUUACAAUGCUACAAAAUGCUUGCUAUGGGAACCAAACAAGAUUCUCAGUUUGUCUGACACAAGCACAGACACAUGAUUUUGUUACAUACUCAUGUAUGCAUUCAUGUGUGUGUGUGCGCGCGCGCACGUAUAAACAUGCGAUUGCAAUUAAAAUGCAUGUGAAAGUUCCACAUGGAAUAUGAAAAUGAGUACAAUAACACUAGGAGCAGAGCGAGAACUAUAAUAAACCAUUGUAAUUACUGGAGUUUGCGAUCCAAUCCAAAUUGUAGUUUAGAUUGAAUUAGAUUAGCAGUUUUGAUUAGAUUUGAAGAUAACUAAUUGCUUCUUUCAGCCUUAUUCCUAAAACUAAUUUUCUGCAUUACUUACAAAUUUUCAAGAAAGAAGACUGAAAUUCAACUGGUUAGCAUCAUGAACAAUAAUUUUAAAUGCUUGCUUGUUAAGCAGGUGCUAUAGCCUAGAACUUACAAGGACAUCUUGGCCGAACCAUGAAUAUGACUCCCGCCGAUUAACAAUCCAUAAUACCGCAAAUGCCACACAUACUAUAAAAACUACUAUUGAGAAGAUAGAACUCUUCCCAAACAUAGGUACCUUCACUAUAUUCCGUCCAAGUUUUGGAAAUACUCUGCUCAUACAAUUGAAAAAUAGAUAUGAGAAAUCAGCAUAACACAAAACAUGUAGAAAGAAUGCCUUUUUUUUCUUAUUGCUAGAUGGAACAGUAGUUUUUUUUCCUUUGGUUGUGAGGAAGAAAUUUAUUCAAGCCAGUAUACCUUAAAACGAGGCUCACAAUACAAUUGUGCAUCCCCUGAAAAUUAUUGCAAACGUCAAUUACUGAAAAGAGGAAUUUUGGCAGUUUAGAUCAUCUAAAACCCAAAAAUUUAACUAGUUAUAUUCAUUAUUAUGGUUUACAAUAGAUCAUGCUAGUUAAAUGAAGUACAGAACUAAGUACUCUCUGAUGUAUUUUAUUAACUGCAAUGUUAAAUUAACUUUUAUUGGAGAGAAGGGAAUAUAUAACUAAAGGCAGAUAAGAUAAUUUACAGAGAAGAGAAAAUUAUAAUAUUUAGGAAUAUGGCAAAGCUUCUCAAACAUGUUUGCUCUAACUUUCCACCCUCCUUUUUUACAUUUCUAAACUUGUUUCUCCAACCCAGAAAGUCCAAUAUAGCACUGUCUUAAUGGUGAACAAAAAUAGGGAAACAAUAUGCUUUGAUACACACCAAGAAAUAUGAUCUUUAUUUUUCCUUAAAAAAUGGCAAAGGUAGUAGAAAAUUCUACAGAAAUGAGCUACAUUACCUCAACACCACCAAUGCAGAAAAGUACAAUCAGCACCCAGAUAAACCAAGAUGACAUGAAGAAAAAUAGUAGCACAAGAAAAGUGGAUGCCGAAAUGACAAAGAUAAUAGCACCCUUUGUGUCUAUGUUAACAAUGUCCUCCUCAUCUUUCAUUGUUUCGGAUUUGAAAGAUCCCUAGACAAAUGUUAAGUUAUAUCACAUACGCAAAGUUGACAAGCUAAAAGAUGUAUUAAACAUGAACCAAAACUAAAUUCUAUAAUUAGUAAGGACCAUAAGAAGAUGAAGAACGAUAUUUAUACUCAAUCUUAGAAUUCAUUUCUCUCCCCCUCUUUAUCUAUCUAAACAAUAGAUUAUAUUCUAUCUACAAAUAAUGCUAUACUCCCAAGUUAAACUCCAAUAGUUAACUAAUUGAAAUGAUUAGCAGUUGGUUAAUUAAUAAAUUGUGGUUGAAUUUAAAAGAGAGUCUAAUUUUUAUGUACUAAAUAUUAAAAGUGUAAAACAUUUUACAAAGUCAUCCUAUCAAUUUUGUUCUUUUAGAUGAUAAUUCAUGCGUGGGUGUGAAAAUUUGUUAUUUUUACUUAAAUGACAAUAUGUAAUUACAGGCAUGUUUAAGACAUCCUCAGAAUGACAAAUUUGAGUUUAUGAUAUCAACAUAUUCUGAUAUCUUUCUUGAAGCAUUAGGUCAUUUUUAGUCAAUGGAAGUGUGCUUUUGCAUAAAGACAAUAAAUUACUUUAAUGUGGAUUAAAAACAGAAGUACAACAAAUUGAACUACGUAUGAUACUUUGAGGUAGAGAUAGCAUUGUAUGGGGAAACCUUGGGAGACAAUUCAUUGUAGCGUUCAUCACAAUCAGCAGCUGUUAUAUCUGCCCAUGUUGAAGCGCAUAUAACUGUUCCGACAGCCAUCAACCACAAAACUGCAACUGAAUAGUCUAAAAGUGGGCGAGUUGGAGCAUAUAUCGAAAGUUCCACUGCAAUGAACAAUUCAUAAUCAAUUUACCAUCUGUAAAUCACGUGAAAAUAUCUUUAGUCUGAUCAACAACGAUACUUGAACCCAAACUUAUGGAUUCAAGAUAUAAGCACCACAUCUUUUAGCCAUUGAUCUCAUAUAGGGAUUGACUUAUGGACCUCACAAUGUAAGAUCAUCUGGUACUAAGGUUUAGACAUCAGCAUCUCAGCUGUCAACAACCAUAAAAAAUUGAAGGUUGAAAUGCUGGUGCCUAAACUUUGAAACCGAAAAACGGGUUCAGCUAUCAUUAUGGAUUUAUUGAAUGGUGAUACUAAUAUUGGCAACAAAACAUAGAAAAAGGAGAUUAAAUGAUGUAAAAAGGUCUUCUUAUUUUGUGGAAAGUUAUGAAACUUCAUCCCUAAGUUUAACUUGUGUUUGUGUUUCCCAAUGACAAGCAUUAGAACUAAACUUUAAUAUCUAAAUAAAUCAUCAUCAUCAUAGGAUAUAAAGAGCUUCUAAGAAUAAACCAUCCUCGCACAAAUUUUACCACAGCUAAAAGAAAUUACACAAUUUUCUUGCAUCCUAGAUCCGUACAACAAGAUUUUCACAAGUUAUCUUUCUCAAACAUGAUAAAACUAGACAUAAAAGUUCUACGAGUUGUAGCGCUGACCUUUCUUUCCAGAUGUCAACUCAUUGUCGAGAUCAUCUCCUGCUGUCUUUGAUAUCAUUGCAACUGGGAUUGAAAUGUCUACUCUAGAGCUAUUGGAACACUCCAUUGAGAAAAGGUCUGCCAGAAAAUAAAGAGAUGGAUUUUCGUCGAAAUAUGACCAUGAACAUAAAACUUUAUUGACUAUGACGGAUUAAAAUUCAUGGGAAUACAGAACAAGUCAACAAUUGCUGUAAAGUUCCAAUCAAUAAAUUACAAAUGUUUCCUCUAUAUCCAAAAGUGACAUUAAACUCUAACAAGGCCCAUGGAAUAGAUGAGUAAAGGUCAAGAUCCAUCAGUUAAAUGAGAAAACAUGAUAAUAAAAAUUUGAAAAGAAAAUAAGUUGAGGUUUUUCUAACUUGAAUUGCAUGGGAUCACUCACAUGCAUCAAACGUUCCAUCUUCAAAUAAAAUAAUUCAUAAGAAAACAACAAUGCUACUUAGCGUAACUUUAUAUAAACCAAAACAUUUUAUUUUAUCUUAUCUUAUUUUUAAUUUGGGUUCCAUAUGACCUUUAUACAUGUAAAUAAGCAUGAAAUAAGUAGAACAAAUGAUGACGCAAGCUAGUUUUUAUAUAUAAUUUCAUUGUGCGACUCUGAUAUGUUCAUCGGUUAAUAUUGUUUGUUUGUAAUGGGAUUAGGUUUCUGUGUAUGUAGAGCUGAUGUAUUUAGAGUUUGUUUCAGUUAUUUAAUAUGUUGAACAAAUUAAUCUGUCUAAAGGAUUCUGUAUGGGGGUGUGCAAAGCAGUCUAGUUUACUACUCAUAUAACAACCUAAUAAUAACAUGCCAUAUUCAUCAUGUUCAUAUACACAAUAUGUAACUAGCAGACACCAUACAAAUUUGAAGAAAUAUACCGUCCGACUCAUUUAUGACCAAUACGGCAACUGCACCUGCUGCCUGUGCAAUUGCAGCUUUAGUUGUGAAGUCGCAAGUACCACGCUGACAUAAAGUUACUGAUCCAACAAGUAACUGCAAAUUAAAAUUAAUAUAAUCAAAGAGGAGUAAAUCACUAAUUUGGCUCUUGAACUCUUAGCUCGCUAACAAAAUAGUCCUUAAAGAUUGAAAAUUAUCCCCUCACAUCUAAAAAAUUGAUUUUGCUUGACUAAUCCACCCAAAGUGAGGACCAAUUUGUUAGCAAAAUAAUCUUUCAAUUGUCGACCCUUUCUGGAGUGUAUCAUAGGAUUGUUAACAAUCUUUAAAGAACAAUUUUCUCAAAGAAUUAAAAGACAAUGUUUAAUUAAUUAUUGGAAGCUAAGCAUGAGGGGAUGAGAAUAUAAUCAUAAAGGAAACAAUGAUCGAAAAACCUUAGUAAUUGGUGGGACACAACAGUCUCUAGGAUUGGCAAAAACAAGAGGAGAUUUGGGACUCUGACCGACUUCCUUGGGAAACUGAGCACCAAACAUUGCACUCAUGCCACCGUACCCGGAAUUCACAACAUUGCCAUCAACCCAUUGCUUCAUCUUCACCUGCAUUAUGUUCAUAUACAUAUAUAUAUUUUACAUACAUGCAUUCAUCAGAGAUCUCAAAUGAAGAAUUUCAUAUGUUCAUAUGAAAAUUAUAGCUAAGAAUCGUCAAUGGUUUUGACAUGUUUGACCACAUUGCUGAUUAAUAAUACAUGUCAAUGUUUUAGCUAUCUUCUUCAAGAUAUUUUCAUGUGAUACCUUCAUCAAAAAUAUAACCUAACGAUUGCCGAAUUCAAUAGGAAAAAUAUUAUGAAUCAGUUACACUAGAUAGCUACCAAACUCACCUAAACCUUUUUGUAUCAAAAAAAUAAAUAAAUAGAGUGACGAAAUGAAGAAAUAUUAGAUCUUGUUACCAAUUGAACAUCUUUAGCGCAGGAUGGAUCAAGUUUUGGAGCAUCGUCGGCGGCGUCUCCGAACACGAACAAAAGAAGCGUGAUAGCCACCGCAGCGACCGCAUUAUAUGAAGAAUGAUAACAAAAAGAAGACGAAGAGGCCAUUGAUUAACUAAGUUGUUAAUAUUAAUUAAUUAAUCAAUAAUAUUGCUUUGCCACCUCCUACUCUGAAUGGAAAAAAAAAAUUUGAAUUAGGGGGGUGGGUGUGAAAGAGAGGCUUCGUUCCUUUGUCUAAGUCGCUCAUUAUCUCUCUCUUUUCCUCUUCUAUCUCUUUCACGCACGCAGUUGAGAAUGGCUUUUCAUUUGUUGGGUGCCUCUCUCUCCCUCUCUUCCUCCUCUCAUCGUUCAUGGCGCGAACAAACAGGGAUUUCGUCGUGUUUAUCUUAUUGGAUUGUCUUUUUCGUUGCUACAUUAUCAACCGUUAUUUCAAAAAUAAAUUGUAAUAAAAUAUUUAUUAAAUUUUUUAAAUAAAUAAUUUAAAUAUUUUAUUUACAGAUAAAAGUAAUUUCAAACAAAUAUAUUUCAAAAUUCAUAUAUCUCGUUUAUUAAUUUACACUAUNNNNNNNNNAAUUUAUCUAAAUCUUGUUGCUUUAACUUCAUUAGAAUAAUUGCAAAUAAAGCUUUUUUUUUUUUUGGGGCUUAGAUUUAGAUCUCAAUAAUUCUCUUGCAAUUUAUUUUUCUUCUUUUAUGGUGGAAUAGCUUUAUUUUAUGAAUAAAACUUUAUAUUUAAACAAAAUAUUAACCAAGUUGUUAUAAUAACUUUUCAAAUCAUGCGUAUCAUUCUUCUUUUUCUUCUCCUUCUCAUUCUCAAUUUCUUUCUCCUUCUCCUCUUUCUCGUCUUUUUCUUCUUCUUUUCCAAUGUUGCAUUUUUUUUUUCUUUUUGAAUAAAUGACCAUUUAUACCCAUGAGAGAUGAAAACGCUGACAUUUGUACCCAUGAAAGCUCGAAACUAAUCUCGUACCCAUGAUAGAUGCUGUCUGUGUGACAAAAGUGCCCUGACUUGGAUCUGAGCUUGGUUCGUGGGUUUCCGAACCUACGUGGCACUCUCACCCCCUCAAAGCCAUAUCUGAGCCAACCAUUCACCAUCAUCAUCUUCAUCUUCUUCACCAUCAUCCCCAUCCCUUACUGUCUCUUCCCAGCCACCAUAACCUCCAUCACCAUCACCACAGCACCGCCACAGCCACCUCCCUUCACCACAACCUCCGGCGACAACCCACACCGCCGCGCCCCUUUCUCUUCUUCCCCUCUUCUCACCUCCGCUGAGCCCAGAAACCACAGCGCUAGCUCCUCCUCUCCACCUUCACCAUCAUCAUCUUCAUCUUCUUCACCAUCAUCCCCAUCCAUCACUGUCUCUUUCCAGCCACUAUAACCUCCAUCACCAUCACUUCAGCACCGCCACAGCCACCUUCCUUCACCACAACCUCCGGCGACAACGACUUUAAAUCGAAUCAGCAGCAGUAGCGGCAUUAGCCGCACCAACAGCUUUCCGCAACAAUAAUGCCAUCGAAGAACUUGCAAAGGUAUUGACAUAACCCUAAUGCAAUAAUGUCUCAAAAUUCUCAAUCAACCAUGAAAAUAGAACGGUAACAAUGAGGGUUUUGGAACAAGGACAACUUACUAAAACUUGAAAAGAACAGAGAAAUGGAGCGGUAGCAGUAUUAGCUUCGUUUAAGCACAAACAACCUCACGGCCACCACCACGGCAGCAGCGAUUUCAGCACACAAGAGAGGAAUCAGAAACAGAGACAAGGCUGAGCAACAAACCGAGACAGCGGUUUCGGCGACAGCGGCGGCGACUCCCGCUAGUGACGGCAACGAGCUCCCGUGAUGAUGACGGCGACUAGGUGUGGCGGUGGUGACAGGAUCGGCUUUCCUUCUCUCUCUCAUCUUCGCGCACUUUCUCUCCCUCUUCGAAGCUCGACAGUGACACAUAGUGAGGCGCGAUGGCAGCCCUAGCUCGAUGGUGGCUGGACAGUGGCGGAGCACGACGGCUCCUCUUCCCCUUGCGGCGUCUCUGGUUCGCGACGCGUGCUCUCUCCCUCGACGUUGGCAACAGCGACAAUGUCUCCCUCUUCUUGCGUGGUGGCUCGGCGUCUUGACGGCGGUGGUGGUGCGCGACGGUGGCUGGUGACGGCGCGAUACCCUCCCUCUCUCGGAUCUCUUCUCGUGCUCUCUCCUCACUCUCUGAAUCUCUCGUUUCUCUGCUCUCUUAUUUCCUCUGUUAGUGUGUAUGUCAUGUAUUUUUGUCGCCGGAAGUUGUGGUGAAGGGAGGUGGCUGUGGCGGUGCUGAGGUGAUGGUGAUGGAGGUUAUGGUGGCUGGGAAGAGACAGUGAUGGAUGGGGAUGAUGGUGAAGAAGAUGAAGAUGAUGAUGGUGAAUGGUUGGCUCAGAUAUGGCUUUGGGGGGUGGGAGUGCCACGUAGGUUCGGAAACCCACGAACCAAACUCAGAUCCAAGGCAGGGCACUUUUGUCACAAGGACAGCAUCUAUCAUGGGUACAAGAUUAGUUUCGAACUUUCAUGGGUACAAAUGUCAGCGUUUUCAUCUCUCAUGGGUACAAAUGGUCAUUUAUUCUUUUAUUUUUUAAAUAAUUUUUUAACUGUUUGUUCAAUCUGAAUCGAAUUCGGUUCAUUUGUGAAUUGAGUUAGGUUCACUUGAUACUACUUUUAAGUAUUCACCAAAUCUGUUAUUUUUUAAGAAAUUCGGUUCAUCUCUUAGUUUAAUUGAGUUCAUUUGCAUGCAAAAAUAAAUUGAAAUGUGUUUUUCUUAUUGAUUGAAUGUUUAUCACAUUUUAUUCAAAUCUGAACUGAAUUUUGUUCAUUUGUGAAUUAAGUUAGGUUCACUUGAUACUACUCUUAAGUAUUCACUAAAUCUGUUAUUUCUUAAGAAAUUCAGUUCAUCUCUUAGUUUAAUUGAGUUCAUUUGCUUGUAGAAAUAAAUUGAAAUGUACUUUUCUUACUGAUUGAAUAUUUAUCACUUUUUGUUCAAAUCUGAACCGAAUUCAGUUCAUUUGUGAAUUGAGUUAGGUUCGCUUGAUGCUACUUUUAAGUAUUCACCAAAUCUGUUAUUCCUUAAAAAAUUCGGUUCAUCUCUUGGUUUAAUUAAGUUCAUUUGUAUGCAGAAAUGAAUUGAAAUGUGUUUUUUUUUUUUACUGAUUGAAUGUUUAAAACUUUUUUAUUCAAAUCUGAACCCAAUUCGACUCAUUUGUGAAUUGAGUUAGGUUCACUUGAUACUACUGUUAGGUAUUCAUCAAAUCUAAACCAAAUACCAAAUUCAGUUCAUUUCUGAAUCCAAAUAAACCUCAAUUAAUAGGAGGAAAAGAAAAAAUGUAGCAACAACAACAAUAAUAAAAGAAUGACGAUUGAGAGAAAACACGCGAAGAAGAAGAAGGAACGCAAAAAAGAAGAAGAAGGAAGAACGCAAAGAAGAAGAAGAAGGAAUGCGAAAACGGAAGGAAGAAUGCGAAGACGAAGACGAAAAUAAAGACAAAGAAGCGUUAUUGAAACGCGUGUAUGUACGCUGAAAGUGAUUUUUGUUGAGUUUGGGUCUGCUUGAUUAGAUUUGUUUGAAUGUGUAAUUGGGUUGUGUUGUUAAUAAAAUUUUUUGCAAAUUUGUCUAGUAUUUAAAUGUAUUCAAAAAAACUCAACUAAAAAAAAUAUUCAAAAAAAAAAAAAGGAUAUUUUAUUNNNNNNNNNNNNNNNNNNNNNNNNNNNNNNNNNNNNNNNNNNNNNNNNNNNNNNNNNNNNNNNNNNNNNNNNNNNNNNNNNNNNNNNNNNNNNNNNNNNNNNNNNNNNNNNNNNNNNNNNNNNNNNNNNNNNNNNNNNNNNNNNNNNNNNNNNNNNNNNNNNNNNNNNNNNNNNNNNNNNNNNNNNNNNNNNNNNNNNNNNNNNNNNNNNNNNNNNNNNNNNNNNNNNNNNNNNNNNNNNNNNNNNNNNNNNNNNNNNNNNNNNNNNNNNNNNNNNNNNNNNNNNNNNNNNNNNNNNNNNNNNNNNNNNNNNNNNNNNNNNNNNNNNNNNNNNNNNNNNNNNNNNNNNNNNNNNNNNNNNNNNNNNNNNNNNNNNNNNNNNNNNNNNNNNNNNNNNNNNNNNNNNNNNNNNNNNNNNNNNNNNNNNNNNNNNNNNNNNNNNNNNNNNNNNNNNNNNNNNNNNNNNNNNNNNNNNNNNNNNNNNNNNNNNNNNNNNNNNNNNNNNNNNNNNNNNNNNNNNNNNNNNNNNNNNNNAUUUAUAGUUUAUCAUAAAAACUAUUUAUCUUAUACUUUUUCUCAAAUGUAAGUGUCAUUUGAUUUUCUAUAUAUGAAAGUUUUUAAUCUGAAAAAAUAAUAAAAUACAGAAUAGUUUACUCAAUAUUUAUUAUUGAAAAAGUUUUAGAAACUAAUAAUUUUAUUAAAAUUUAGUCAGCAUUUAACUAUUAAAAAAAGAGUAUGUAAUUUUAUACCAUUAAAUAUAAUUUUACACCAUAAAAAUAUUAAUGAUAACUAAUUAAUGAUUAUAAAUCACAAAAUGUACUACCUUUAAUACUACGGUUUAUUAUUUGUUUAAAGGGCUCGUUCGAAGUCCUUUCAAAGUAUUAAUUUUGGAAUUAUUCUCUACAUACAAGCAUUUUUCCUAUAUAAGUCUUUACAAAUCAUUUAUAUUUACGCGCUUCGUGCCGUUACUGCACGUUCUUCUUCUUCUUCUUUUUCUUCUUCGUUAUUGUCGUCAUCAACACCACCACCUCCUCCUCCUCCUUUUUUAUUAGAAUUUCUUCUCCUUUUAUUAUUUUGAAUCCAAUCAAGUAGUUAAGGUGUGGUUUAAUUCAAAAGAAAAAAUGUAGUAUUAGAGAAAAUAUUUUUUAGUAUUUGCAGUAAAUUUGGGUGUAACACGGAGAUAUUUUGGUGUAACACGAAGAUAUUUUGGUGUAUUUUAAAAAUUUUGAGUGUAUUUUUAUUCUGAUAAGUUCUGCAUAAUUCAAAACUCUUCAUCUUCCUCCUCCUCAUCUUCUAAUGCUUCUUCUUUUUUUUUUUUAUCAUCAUCACCAUCUUCUUCUUUUUUUUCUUAUUCAUUUUUUUCUUUUUGUUUUAUCUUUUCAAGUUUCUUCUUGUUUUACUCUCUUAACAAGAAUAAAAAUAAAAAAAUUAAACAAAAAAAAAGAAAAACACAUAAUGCUACAAAAUUAUUUAGAAGAGGAUGGACUUACAUUCAUUUAACUAAAAGAAAAAAAGAAAGAAAUAAGGACAAAAAGAAGAAGAAAAAAAUGUAACAUUAAAUAAAAGAAACAUUUUUCUGUAUUUGCAGCAAAUUUGGGUGUAACAUGAAGAUAUUUGGGUAUAUUUUUAUUCUUAUAAGUUAUGCAUAAUUCAAAACUCUUCCUCUUUCUCAUCAUCAUCUUCUACUGCUUCUUUUUUUUUAAUCAUCAUCACCGUCUUCUUCUUCUUUUUUUCUUAUUCAUCUUUUUCUUUUUGUUUUACCUUCUCAAGUUUCUUCUUGUUUUACUCUCUUAACAAUAAUAAAAAUAAAAAAAAUCAAACAAAGAAGAAGAAGAAAUACAUAAUGUUGCAAAAUUACUUGGAAGAGGAUGAACUUACAUUCAUUUAACUAAAAGAAAGAAAGAAAUAAGGAAAAAAAGAAGAAGAAAAAAAUGUAGCAUUAGAAAAAAUAUUUUUCUGUAUUUGCAGUAAAUUUGGGUGUAACACAAAGAUAUUUGAGUGUAUUUUUAUUCUAAUAGUUUCUGCAUAAUUCAAAACUCUUCCUCUUCCUCCUCUUCAUCUUCUACUGCUUCUUCUUCCUCUUCUUAUUUCGUUUUCUUAUAAUUCUUUUUCGGAAAAAAAUCAAACAAAAAAAAAAAUACAUAAUGUUAUAAAAUCAAUACAAAGAUGAGGAGGAAAAACAUGCAGCAACAAUAACAACAAUAAAAAGAAUCAUGAUGAGGAUAAAAAUGCGAAGAAAAAGAAGGAAUGCGAAAAAAAUGAAGAAGAAUGCAAAAAAGAAGGAGAAGAAGGAAGAGGAAGAAUGUGAAAUACAAACGUUGAAGAAAAAUAAUUUUUGAUUUCACGUUAUUUAAAGUUAAAAAAGUGCGCAUUUACACGCUCUUUAAAUUAAGAGUUAUUUUUGUUGGGUUUGUAGUGACUUGCAUAGACUUGUAUAUAUAGCAAGUCUCUUAAUUAUAUUUACUUUCUAGUUUCUUCUAGGUUUAAACAUUACACUUCCCUCCUCCUAAAUUUUAAACAUUUUACUUAAACUCUCUUUCUUAAUUAACUCUUAAAUUUUCAUAAUUAUCCUAAACUUACAUAUCUUCACGGUUACAUUGAGUUAUUAUCAAAUGUCACUAUUCAACAACACAGUAUAUUUAGUUAAUAGAUAUGUCUAUCUAAUACAUAGACUGGUAUACAUUUAUUAUUUAAUUAAAGAGACGCAAUUUUUUUAAAAAAUACGGCGUACACAAUUACACAUAAUAAAUGUUAAGUGAAUUAUAGGGUACAGAGCAAAAGCCAUACAGAUUUAAAGAUUUUCUUACUUAAACCACACUUUCUAAAGUCACACUUUUCAUUUAAAAUCGUAGCUCUUCACAAAGAAAAGCGUCACUUAAUGGAAAAAAGUAAAUUAGAAGAUUUAAGAGAAGAAAUAAUUAAGUUAUCAAAAUUAAUAGAUCAAAAAUUAAUGAUUUUAACUAAUGUUAACUGUAAUGACAUCAAAUUCUUAAAAUCAAUACAAAAUGAUUUUUCUCAAAAUCUUUAUUUUACUAUAAGUUUUAUCGAAGGAUUUCAAAAACCUGAAAAAACUUAUUUUUCACACGGAAUUUCUAAAAAAUGUUACCAUGAAAAUGAUUCCCCACAUCUUUAUCAUACUUUUAACCCACAAUUAAAUUCUAUAGUAGAUAUGCUUGAAGAAAUAUUAGUAUCCAUAAAAUUUCAAAAAAAUAAGGAAAAAGAGAAUCCCAAAGAAGAAAAUUUUCAAAAUAUAAUCAACAUAACAGAUUUAAAAGAAAACCACCACUAAAAUUAUGAAUAUUGAAGAAAAAUUAGAAGAAGUUACAAUGCUUUUUAAACAAUUAAAAAUGGCUCAAGAAAAUAAUAUUAUGGAACAGGGAUUUCAAAUAGAAGAAGAAUUAAUAAAUUCUGAAAAUAUAGAAAAUGAAGAACACAUCCUAGAUUAUUCAAGUGACGAAAAACCAGCAAUUCCAAUACAAGUAAAAAAUGAAGCUGGAACAUCUAAGGAUAAUCAAUCUCAAUUUAAAUGGGAAACAGGUUUUGAUAAUUAUGCUUUUAAAAAAGGGUUUAUAAAUAAAGAUUCAAAAUAUACAAAAAUACCAUCAAAAUAUGUUCCUAAAAUCCAGAAAAUGGAAGGAGAAAGAAUGCUCGAUUUAGACUGUAAAAAGAAUGAAAAAGAAAUUUUCGAAAACUGGUUGAAUUCUUUCUUAUUAGAAGCCUUCACUAAUCCAAAACUUAGUGAAUUGUCCGGAAGAGACAUUUGGAAUUACAUAGGGUUUCAUACUAAAGGAACUAUAAGAGAUUAUAUGACAUCAAUAGAAAACCAAAUAAUAGAAGAAUUAGCAACAAAAACAACAGCUUAUGAUAAGAUAUUAUAUAUAAUGAUGAUUCUAUAUAAAGAAUUUUUUGGAAAAAAUAUUAUAGAUCAUAGACAAGAAAUCUAUAAUAAAGAAUAUCAAGAAGCAAAAAACUAUUUAGCUAAUAUUCAGAUAUAUGAUUUAUGUAAUGUGGAAUCUUAUAUAUGUGAAUAUAGAAUACAUUAUUACAAAUUAAAAGAAGAAGAUAAAAAUUAUUAUUUUAGUAUGUAUAUAACAAAACUUCCAUAUCCUGCUAAUGAAUUUAUAAUGGGAAGAUUUAUAAGAGAAAUAAAUAGAGGGACAAUUGAAAAUAAUUUUGGUGGAGCAACCUCUGCAAUAAGAGAGGAAAUAAAAGAACGUUGUAUGCAAGAAGCAACUUAAAAAAGAUUUGCAAAUAUAAUUAGAAUUUGCUGUCAGGAUAAUGAAGAGAUACCUCAAAAAUAUGGUCUUAAUAAAAAUUUUCAAAGAAAAAGAAAAUAUCAAUUUAGAAAAAGAAAAUACUAUCUAAACUGGAGAAAAAAGAGGUAUUUUAGAAAAAGAAAUAACAAUAAAAACAAAAGACAAAAAAGUGACUAUUGCCCGAAUAAAAAAGAAAAUUGUAAGUGUUGGUAUUACCAAGAAGAAGGACACUAUGCAAAUGAAUGUCCGAAAAAGAAGGAUAAAAAAGAUCUUACUAAACAAAUAGAAAUUGCUAAGUCUUGUUUCAUGGAACCUUUAGAGAAAUCUGAUGAUAACUUAGACUACAUUUUUGAAUAUGUCUCAGAAACAGACUCAGAGACUAAGUAAUAAUGCCACAUUUAUUACUAUAAAAAUAACAGAAAAGUUUAUAAACGCUUUUAUAGAUUCUGGAGCAACACAAUGCUUUGCUAGUUCAAAUAUAAAACUUGAUUGGAAAAAAUUAAAGAAACCAUUAAGAGUUAGAAUAGCUGACAAGUCAAUACAUAAAAUUGACCAAAAAGCAGAGAUGGCUGAAAUUUUCAUUCAAAAUUAUAGGUUCAUUGUUCCAUCUAUAUAUAUGUUAGAUUCCGGAAUGGAUUUUAUCAUAGGAAAUAACUUUUUAAAACUAUAUCAUCCAUUCAUUCAAGAAUUAACAUAUAUAGUUUUAAAAGCUCCACACGAUUCUUCAAUAAAUCAAAAAUCAAAACGUAUAAAAAUACCAACUACUACUAUAGAUAAGAUCUUAAAAUUUAAAAUAUUUUCUAUAUUAGAGACAUGUUAUUUAAAUUUAUACUUUCAGAUAAAUAUUCCAAAAAAUAAUCUUGAAAUAAAGAUAGAAGAACUUUUGGAUGAAAUUUGUGUUGAAAAUUCUUUAGAUAUUAAAAAUACAAAUAACGAAUUAGUAAGCAUUAAAUUAAAAGAUCCUACAAAAGAGAUAAAUGUUCCAAAUAAAAUUCCUUAUUCCGCAAGAGAUAGAGAAGAGUUCUCAUUAGAAUGUAGAGAUCUUUUGGAAAAAAGAAUUAUAAGAUUAAGUAAAAGUCUUCAUGCGGCUCCAGCCUUUUAUGUCGAAAACAAUAAUGAAAUUAAAAGGGGAAAACGAAGAAUGGUUAUUAACUAUAAGAAGAUGAAUGAAGCAACUAUUGGUGAUGCUCAUAAACUUCCAAGAAAAGAUUCUAUUUUAGAAAAAAUCAAAGGAGCAACUUAGUUUUCAUCUCUUGAUGCAAAAUCAGGAUAUUGGCAACUUCGUUUAGACGAAGAAACAAAGAAAUUAAAUGCUUUUACUUGCCCAACAAAAGAAUCAACAAGUGUGUUGCUCUAUGAAUGGAAUGUAUUACCAUUCAGAUUAAAACAAACCCCAGGUAUUUAUCAAAGAUUUAUGGAAGAAAAUCUAAAAGAGUUAAAUGAAUUUGUUUUAGUAUACAUUGAUGAUAUACUAAUUUUUACAAAACAGGAUAAAGAAGAUCAUCUUCAAAAAUUAUUAAUAGUUUUAGAAAGAUGUAAAGAAAAAGGAUUAGUUCUUAGUAAAAAGAAAGCAAGAAUAGCAAAACAAGAAAUAGAGUUUCUUGGAUUAAUUCUAUCCACUCAAGGAAAGCUAAAACUUCAACCAAAUGUUCUAGAAAAGGUAAAUUUAUUUCCUAAUAAAAUAGAAGACAGAAAACAAUUACAAAGAUUUUUAGGGUGUAUAAAUUAUAUUUCUGAUCAAGGAUUUUUAAAAAAUAUAACAGAAUACACUAAAAGUUUAUUUCCAAAAAUAAGUACUAAAAAAGAAUGGAAAUGGGAUGAAAAAGAUAGUAUACAAAUUCAAAGAAUUAAAGAAUUAUGUGAAAAACUUUCAGAACUUUAUAUUCCAGAAGAAAAUGACUACUUAAUAGUAGAAACAGAUGCUUCAGACAUAACCUGGUCAGGAUGUCUAAAAGCUAAGAAAGCUAUAAAAAGUUUAGAAUGCAAGCAUUGUCAGCAAAUAAGGACACAGAUCCAAUCUCUCAAGAAGGCCAUUGAAGCAAUGAAAUCAACACAACAAGCAAAACCAUCAGAGUUCAGCCAGCUAAGCAUGGUGGACAAAUCAGGUGAAGAAAAAAUUUCAAAAAAUAAAAUAAUUGCUGAAAUCAUUAAAAAAUCCACCCAAGAUAAAAAAUAUUAUGUAAUUUAUAAUGGCCCCAUGAAGGGAGUAUAUGAUACCUCGGAAAAAGCAGCACCAUUCAUACAUCAAUCAAGGAUAAUUCAUAAAGGAGGGUUUCUAACACUGGAAGAGGCAAAGGAAUCCUUCAGGGAAUAUGAAGCUCUUCAUCCAGAGCAAACCCUAAAAAGAGCAGAUAAAGCUCCAAUUCAAACCCAGAGAACAGGGAUAAUAAGAAACAUUCCUACAAGGGCUGAAAUUAAGGAAAAGAAAAGGGUUUGUAGAUCUAAUCUCAGAGAAACCCUUAACAUAGUCCUGAAUUGGACUGAAGAAAAAAGGGCAAUUUUGGGAUAUUAUCCUAUUGCCAAAGAACAGAUAACAAAGCUGGUUAUAUUUCCAGAUGCUUCCCCAUCUGACACCUAUCAGUUUUUUCAGUAUGGAUUAAUUGAUACAAUUUUAAUUUUUAAUGAUCUAAAAAUUAUUAGUGAGUUUCCUGCAGGAUUCGUUGAUGCAGUAAAGAGAUUUAAAAAUAUGAUUGACAAUGUAAAUCCAAGGGAUAUAUCCCUAAAAUUUACAAAUAGUCAACCUAUUUUUAAUGAAGAAGAAGAAUGCUUGGUUCCAGCACACCAAGUAAUAUCCAUGUCCGUCUUCCCAGGAAAUUUUCAACCAAUUGAUUAGAUUCAAGAUUUAACAAUUUACAGCCAUGAAGGAAGGCUAGCCAGCACAUUAGCAAGGGUCUUUGAAAGAACUCAAAAAAUAACGAAGGAAUCUCACACAAGGAUUAAUUAUAAAAGUAGAAAUACUCUGCUUGUGUCCAGUAAAAGAAAUGAAAUUGAGGAAAGAGAGAUGAGACUUUUGGUGGAAUUUGAAUCAGCAUUCUAUAACUUAUCUGGACUUUUAGAAAAGCUCCCUGAAGGGAUAAAGAGGAAUCUCUGCUAUUUGAUAAAAGACAGAGAAGACCACAAGUGCCAGCUAUGUGCCUCAGAGAUAUCUGAAGAAAGCAAUAAUGAAACGGAAUCAACUCACAUGAUGAAGGAAGGAGACAAUGCAUCUGAGGGUCACAUGAUAAAAGAGGAGGACAGUGCAUCUGAAGCAUCUCUCAACAUUAUUGCAUAGUGACGUAAGCGCUUAGGUCAUAAGGCACCAACAAUGUAGCUGGUACAAGAUAAUAAACAAUGACGUAAGCAAUUACGUCAUAAGAAGGGUAAGGAUGAGAAUUGUCCAUCAGACCCAACCAUUAUAAAUAGAUUGCUUAGGCAAUUGUAGAAGGCAUCAGACAAUAGAAAGCAGGAGGCUAAGAGUACUUAUAUGCUAGGAGAGCAAGGAGGAAGCUGCCAAGGCGAUUCUAUAGUCUGAAGAAGAAUUCCCUUAGGGAAAAAUAGCUCUAAACUCCCCUCUGGAGUUAGUAUCUAUAAUCUCCCCUCUGGAGAUAAAAAUCCCUUAUGUAAAAUAUACUAAAUAAAGAAAGUUUUUCUCCAGAAAGGUACAUCUUCAUCCUAGUCUUUUAAUUAUGAAUUAUUUAGAAAGUUUAGAAUUAACAGAAGAAUCUGAUUAUUAUAGAUUAACUGCUUUAUUAGAUAAUGAAAAACAGGCUGUUCUAAAAACAGAACUAAAUCUCAAAUCAAAUGAAAAUUUUAAUAAACAAAGUCUUUUAAAAGAAGUUUUUAAUAGAAAAAAUAUAAUAUACUAUAUGGAAAAAUUCAACUUGAAGCCCCUAUAAAAAUAAAAUCUGCCAAUGGAGAACUUGAAAUAGCUUUGAUAAAUGAUGAAGAAUUGAGUAAACAGAUUGAGAAAAUUAAGGAUCAACAAAAAAGAUCUAAAAUUGGAUGGAUUCAUAUUAGUACCAUACAAGUCUUAAUCAAAUCUACAUAUAUGAAAGGAAUUAAUUCGCCAAUAAGUUUAGCAAUCUGUGACAAAAGAAUUACUGAUGACCCAAUAGAUCAAAUAAUUGGAAUUGUUCAUGGAAAUUUGAUUAUGCUUUAACAAAUAGCCAUCAUAGUAUAAUAUUUAAAAACAGAGAAAGAAUUUAUGUCGAUGAAUUAUUUCAGAAAAUUGUAAAAACAGAAAUACCAAAAUAUAAAGCUAUUGAAAACUCAGUUCUAUUAUUAAAAGAACUAUCAGGAAAAUUGGUUUCAUCAAAUUUUCAAAUAAGAGAAUCUAAAAUUAAUAGCCCUUUAAGUUUAUCUACGUUAAAGAUUAAAGAAGAAAAUUCUGAAAUAAAAGAAUUAACAAAAAAGGUCGAAAAAUUAAAUGAAACCCUAAAUACUAAAUUAUGACAAUAAAUAAAGAAGAAAUAUAUGUAACUUAUCAAGAUAAGAAACAAGAGCUCUUUAAAAGAGAAAAUCGUUUGAAUUAUUUGCAGUUUUCUGAAAUAAAUCAAAGAGCAUUUGAAGCUCUAAAAAUAGUCUAUGACAAGUUAAAAAGAGAAGUUGAAGAGCUAGAAAAAUUAAUGGAAUCUCUAGAAAAUAGUGAUGAAGCGAUGAUAGAAUUUGCAGAAAUUCUAAAAUAAAUAAUGAAGCAUAUAAAGAUUGAAAGACCAGAAAAUAAAAUAAAAAGAAAAAGGACGAAAAAAUUAAAAAGUAAAAUAAAGGAGUAUAAAAGGGAAUUAAAUAAUUUUCAGAUCAAAAUUGAUGACCUUAUAAUAAAAAGGAUAGAAAUAAGAAUAAAUAUAAAUAAGUUGGAGUUAAACUUAAAAAAUUUAUAAAUGCCUCGAAAACCAUAUUAUGAUUUAAAAGAAUUAAAGCUGUUGAAAGAAAAAAUGGAGAAUGAAGUUGAAAAAUUAAAAAGAUAUUUAGAAACAACAGAAAGUGUAGAAAUAAAAGAAGUUUUGAAGAUUUGAGAAAUUAUAUUAAAGAAAAAGACAAACAGAUAAAAGACUUUAUAUACAAUAAUCUAUGCAAAAAAGAAUAUUAUAAACUAAAACAAGAUUUAAAAACUAUAAAAAUGAAAUCAGAAUUAUAAAUAAUGGUAAUAGUAGAAAUGGUAAAAUUUUUAAAAAUAAAAUAAAAAUGAAAUCAGAAUUAUAAAUACUGGUAAUAGUAGAAAUGGUAAAAUUUUUAAAAAUAAAAUUUGAUAUCAGAGCCAAGUUAACGAUUAAGGGUAACACUUUUUCUUUAAGCAACACUUUUAAUGACACGCUUUUAAAUCAAUAAACAAUUAAAUAAAAACAAAAAUCGGUAAAUAUGUACCAAACUAUAUCUGUACGCUAGAUGGACCCAUGUAUAUUUUGUAUUAAGUUGAGACACAAAUUUUUUAUGUUAGACACAAUUUUUUUAUUCAUUUUUACCUUUAAUGUUUUGUAAAUUCUCCAAAUGUACCCUCCUUCUUCCAACCGUUUCUUUUUCUCUUUCUCUCUCACCAAUAUGCUGUCUUUUGCUGAUUUCCCAUGACAACAACUCUCUCUCUCCCUCCUUCUCCCGUAUCUAAGUCAUUCACUCACGGUAUUUUCUAUUUCAUCUUCUUGUAAAUUUAGUCUCUCCUUAGAAAAGAAGACAUUACCACCAUCAUUUCUUUAAAAAAGACAUAGUCUAUUUUAUAACUAUUUUUUUUUUCUUUUUUUUUAUAAUAAUUUAUAUUUAAAUUGUUGAAAAUAUUAGCAGUGAUAGCGCCAAUCUUAAAAAAAAUAAUAAUAAAUUAAAGUGGGAAUAGUAAAUAUGGUAUUACUGUAAUGUUGACGAUGGAAAAAGAAGAAUAAUAUUAAUAUUUUAAUAUAAUUAUAAUUUGUGUAUUAUAUUAUAUAUUAUUUACUAAAUAAAAUAAAAUAAAUUGUAUAAUGUUAUACCUAUGUUUAUUUAUGUAUUUGUGUAUAUCUUUUUGUUUUUUUCUACCCAUCAUCACUGGAAUGCCAAGGCACACUGAUUGGUUCUAAGUUUGUAUGGAAUUAAUCAGCAGUAAUUAGUGGAUUUAUAGAAAAGUUUAGAGAUGGUAGUAUUUAAAUACGGAUGAUGACAAGUAUAAUAUGUAAUUAAAAAGAAACAGAAAAAAAUCUAAAGAAAUAUCCCUGUAAUCUUUCAUUUUAAAUUUCUUUCUACAAACAGAAAUAUGUAAUUAAACAACGAGGAAACUCUGUUUGACUUUUGAAGUCACAAACAUUAGAUUCUUCCUUGUAACAAUUGUUUGUCCUUCUUGGGGCUUUUAAUAUUUUAAUUUGAACAUGAUGNNNNNNNNUAGUGAAGUCAAGUCAAAAAUAAAAAAUUAAAUUAAAAGAAAAGAAAAAGAAAAGAGAGAGAAGCUCGGAGGCGAGUUCCCAGUUUCAAGUUUCAACAAGAAAGCAAGGGGAGUUGAUAGCGGUUUGGUCGCUGUUUAUUCAAAACGUAGCAACAGCGACGAAACUGGAUUCUGAUUCUUCUUCUCAGCUUCCAAGUCGUGCUUCUUUCUUCGUCCCUCGUCAAAUCCAUGGCUUCCUCGAUGAAGAUCGUUUUCGGACUUCUCACAUUUGUCACCAUCGGAAUGAUUAUAGGUAAUAAGAUGCGAGCAUGUGCUGUGAUCUUCUUCUUGUGCUACUUUUUCUUUCGUUUGGUGAUUCCAUUUUCACCUUCUUACAGAAUUCAGCUGCUUCCAUUUCCAUCUCAUUCAUGUUCUUUUCUGUACUGGAAAUUUCAGGUGCUCUUUCUCAGUUGGCGUUCAUUCGGAAAUUGGAAGAUUCAUAUGGUAUAAUCUUGCGUUCUUUAGUGUUCUUCUGUGAAAUCGCUUUAAUUUUAGUCAUGAUUACGAUUAUGAUUACAAUUUCAUAUGUGUGUUUGAUUGUUAUUGUUAUUGUUAUUAUAUAUGCUAUGCAUUGUUGUAGUGUUGUUUGUUAGUGUUAGUCUAACCUGAUGACUAUAGGCACUCAGGGUAUUCCAUUUAGAAGAUUGCGUGGCUUUGACACCGAUAGUCAUCUUCAAUUGCCCAGAGGUCUUGUUUACUUUUAUCCCUGUUCAUUGUCUAUUCUUUUCCCCCUCAAUUAUUCAUUUAUUUUUGCAUUCACAUGUUCAGGUCUUCCACAUUGGGGCAACGACAAAGAAGCAGAGAUCUUACGACUUGGUUAUGUAUGUCUGUUGCAUUCUGAGUGCUUGAUCCCUUUUAUGAUGUAUGAUAUAUUAUAUCAGCGUAUGCAAGUAUUAGGAAUGUCUAACUAUCUUAUUCUUUAUUCGAGCCUUGAUGCUGGUCCUCUUUAUUCGAGCCUUUAACGAGCGUAUUUAUCUGAGCAUUGUCUCUGUUUACUUAGCUUUUAACUAUCUUAUUCUUUCUUUUUGAUAGUAUCUGUUUGCUAUUUAGUAUCCUUCUUUUGAUUGGGAGAGCAGAGACUUGACUUGCAUGCUUAUAGAUAAUUAUGUUUGUAUGAUCGUCAAUUCUUGAUGCAGGUCAAACCUGAAGUGCUUAGCUGGUCUCCAAGAAUUAUUUUGCUGCACAACUUCCUAAGCAUGGAGGUAUGAGAUUUGUAAGAAAUUUAGAGUGAAACCUGUUAUCACUGUAUCAUUGACUAGGAUUAUUAGGAUAUUAUACAGAUUAGACUAAGGAGUCAAUUUAAAGUUUCAGACAUCUAUUUGAGGGUUAAAGUUUCCUCAUUAGAUGCCAGCCUGCUAGCGUGAAGUAGGACUUGCUAUUUAGCCACAGAUAAGAUCUUCCUAUCCCAACAGAAAAGGAUCUAUAGCUAUAUACUAAUCUUGGGCAUUUGAUGGUACUUUUAAAAAAUCCAGCUGCUGAGUGAAGCCCUUUUCGGUUGAUGUUUAGACGUGUCUGAAUUUAAAUAAUUUUAUAUUUACAGGAAUGUGAUUAUCUCAGGGGUGUAGCACUUCCUCGCCUGCAUAUUUCAACAGUGGUGGAUACAAAAACAGGAAAGGUACAUUGAGAGUUGAUUUCUUCUGGGUUGGGCUCACUGGGUUCCUGAUAACAGAACCUGGAUGCUUGUGGUUCUAUUCGAUUUUUUUUUUUUAAAAAUGGUUUUAUAUAUCUGGUGCUAUAUCAUCCUCAAAUAUGUGACAUGAAACUGUAUAGCCGAUGUUAUACAAAUCGCUUUUCACAUCAACUUUCAUGAAGGGAAACAACUACAUUCAGAUGCUUUUUUCUCUACAUAAAAUGGAUUAAAACAGAAGGAAAUCCAUAUGAGAAAAAUUUAAACAUGUAUUAGUUUGUUGCUCAUUUGAUCAAAAUAUCUAAUAUCUAAUAAUUGAAUAAUGUUGUACUGUGAAUUUUGGAAUAUAUUUAUUUAAUUUCUUCAUGAAAUAUGGUGAAUACCUUUCACAGGGAAUCAAGAGUGAUGUCAGAACAAGCUCUGGUAUGUUUUUAAGUCCUGAGGAGAGAAAAUAUCCCAUGGUUCAUGUAAGUUUUGAAGAUCAUUUUCCUUCUCAAAUCGUCUUGCUUUUGUCAUUAAACCACCGACUGCACCAGCUGAUUCAACCAUGAAAUUUUAACAGUUUUCCUGGUCUGAUACGCACAAGCAUAGACCAGCUGGUUCACUUAGAACACUUUUUGAGUGGUUAUUACUUAUUAGUGAGUUGCUCAGUCUUUUAAACAUCGUGUCCCACCUAUGGUCCUUAGGUUUCACGCCUAGGAUUCUGUUACAUCACAGUCAAGAAGCUCUCUUUUUUCAUAAAAUCUGACCAUCUAAUAAAGAUGUGAACCAUUGCAUCUGUUAAAUGUAAACUUAACCUACAAGCAUUAGCAAUUGAGAAUUGAGAUUCUACAAUUACUAAUCUCAUAAUGAAGUUUAAAUUAGAAAACGUAAUUAAACAAAGGCCAAAACCAGUAAAUGUAGAACUGGAGAAGAGGUACACAACAUAUUUUAUUGGUGAGGAUUGAUUGUGUAUACUUUGCUAAGCAUGUUCACCUUGCUCAAUUAGGCAAUUGAAAAAAGGAUUUCCAUCUAUUCUCAAAUACCAAUUGAAAAUGGAGAGCUUAUACAAAUUCUGAGGUAAGGAGAUGUCCCUUUUUUGUUAAUAUUUUUUAAGAAUAGAGAAUGGUGCUGCUAGUAUAAGGCUAACAUCUGCAGCAGCACAGGUAUGAGAAGAAUCAAUAUUACAAACCCCAUCAUGACUAUUUUUCUGAUGCUGUAAGUUAUAUUAUUCUCUCUAAUAUUUUAUUUAUCUAUUUUAGUAAGCAUGAGAAUUACCUCGAAGUCUCUUAAACUAAACCAUUUGCAAUCCUCGUGCCUUAAUUUUUGAGGCAGUUCAACUUGAAGCGUGGUGGGCAGCGAAUAGCUACGAUGCUUAUGUAUUUAAGUGACAAUGUUGAGGGAGGAGAGACAUAUUUCCCAAUGGUUAGUUUCUUGUUUUCUGAAUUUGUCAUGUAACAUAUUCCAUUAGCUGCUGUAGUUGUAGUUCUGACUUCUGAAGCAUAUCAAUGGUCUGAAACUAAAACAAGAAUUGGGUGACAGGCUGUAAGGAUUAAGGAACCUGGUAUUCAUGGAGGAUAAUGGACUAGAAAUAACAUACAGAAAAAAAAAAGUCUUGAAUUAACACACUGAUGAUGACAAGAAAUAGUAAUUGGGAAUGGCAGUUCAAGAGGCCAUAUCUUGCCUGUAGCUCUUUGAGAUGCCAUACUCUCCUAGUUCUAAUUCGUCUCCAAAUUCUGAGAUUUACCCAUCAGUAUCCCUCCCAUUAGAGCCUAUACAUGGCUCUUCCCUAACAAGUUACAAUAUUCUCUCUUCUUUGCCUAGUUGGAAUUAAUUACAAAACUCACCCAGCCUAAAGUUCACUUAAUUACAAUUAAGUGCACCAGUUCAUAAUUGAUUGGGUUCCUUACACAGGCUGAUGCAGGAGAUGUACCAUUUUGUUUUUUCUGGUUAAUCUUAUAUGUUAAACUUUAAGUGGAGGAAUAUGUUAAUAUUAAUAUUCUAGUAUUUAC